GAGAAGACUGGUUUUAUUCCUUUGGUUUGGUUGUGUUAAGGAGGCUGAGUUCGAGGCCAUGAAAUGGCCGAAGACUCGGCUGAUCUUGUUUUGAAGUUUUAGACUUGAAAGUCAUUGUCUUGUAGUUGAAGCGGAAAAGUUUCUAUUAAUGGAAAGUUUCUAUUUUUGGAAGCUUUCUAUUUAUGGAAACUUUCCAUUUCCGGAAAGAUUGAAGUUUCUAUUCUAAAUUGCUAGUUGAGUUUCGGUUUAGUUGAUGUUAGGCUGAACUAUUUUUAAUAGAGUUGCUCUGAACUGUGGUUGUUAGUUAUGAGAUUUUCUUGUUAAAGUUACACUACCAGGACAAACACUUUAGCCGACGGAAAAGUUUCGUCGACCUGUUAGCUUAAUUCGUUGGCUAAGUUCUUAGCCGUCAAUGGAUAUCGUCGGGAAAAGGUCGUCGGUGAUGACUUUAGCCGACGAAAAAAGAAGACAUCGUCGGCUAUAGUCCCACAGUUUAUCCGACGAAAAACAUGUCGUCGGUUUUUUUCCCAGACUUUAGUCGACGAAUGUGAUUUUGUCUAACAUUCCUAAAAACAGAAAAUAAAGUAUAACAUAUACAAGUGAUCAAUUCAUUCAACACAUCCAUUAGAGAGAAACUCAGAUUCAGACCACACAUCAAAGUUCACGUUUCAACCUUAGCAAUCCAAAACAUGCCAAUUCAGAGAACUAGAAACAAUCUCAAAACACAAGCCUACGAGGUCAUGCAUUUUAUAGUUCUACUUACUUGUCCUUAGCACAGAACAUCUAAAACUAGGACAUCUCAUGCAAGGCUGCUAUCAAUACUACAAGUAUCUGUCUACACUUAACAUGAGUCCUUAAGAUCUAUAAAACGAGAUUGAACACAAUUAUAUUAUGAACGUCACAACAGGGAAUUGCAUAGUAUAUGUAUUCAGCUAUAUCUGUGACACAGCUUCCACCACUGGAGAUCUACACUUACCUACGAGGCUUAGCAUAAAUCAUGGCAUUAGUUAGCAUGCAUUCUAACAUAGGUAUAUCAAACAACAACACAUACUUUCUAACCUAUGAAUUGACAAGAUUAGAUUGCUAAAAAUAUCAUUAACGAAACUUUAACAUGUUUUACUAAAAUUCAGAAUUUACCAACAAUAUAACCAUCGAAACAACAUCCAAAUCCUAUAUUUGAAAACCGAAAACAUGUUUCUAAAAUUGUAAAGGAAAACUAAACAAAACAGAGGUAGGGUUACACUUUAUCAGUCUUCAAGAAGCUUGUAGACAUCUAAAAAGUGCUCCAACUUCAAAGCUUCAAGGCUCCCAAGUUGCUGUUCUUGUGGAAACGUCCAACAAGGCUUUGGCAAGGAAGAAACUCAGCAAAGGAGAGGGAGAGGCUGCUCAGCAGAGCUAUGUGUUUCCCUGACUUUUGUGUGAAUGAAUGAUGAUUUGAGAAGUACUCAAGGCUGUCUAUAUAUAGAGGAAAUCUUGGUGGAACUUCUCUUCAAAAAUGAUGUGGGACUAGGAGAAAUGUUUGACUUUUCUUCUUUAGGAGUACAUGUUUGACUUUUCUGCUUCCUUAGACAGCAUGGGCCUUCUUUUGGGCUUUCUGCAUUUUUCUCUUCCAUCCUCGGACUUGGGCCUUCUUUUGGGCUUUCUUCUUCCUUCCUUGGACUGGAAGCAGGCUUCGCUGUCUUUUUCUGCAUUUUUCUGUUAUAUCCAUGAUUUAGCCUUCUUUUCUUGAUUUAUGCUCUAAUGUCCUUUACAAUCACAAAGCAUGUUAGAAAUGACAUUAUUAUGAGAAUAUCAUAGCUAAAUAGGGUAAGAAACAUAUUAUAAACAUAGCACUUUGUGCUCAAAUCACUUUCCAAACUAUUGUAAACAAUAACUUCUUCAUACAAACUUCGUUUCAAGCGUGUCACGUGUCCCUGAACUCGGUUUAAUGCCUUUACGACUUUCAUAUAAGAAGUUUCCUUUCUUCCUAUUAGAGUUGCUCUGAACCUAUAAAUGGUUGGAUAUGAGAUUUGUUUAGAUUAGUAAAUAAUUUGGAUGGUGUUAUGAUUUGGGGAGCACGAAGGCUCUAGGAGUUUAAGGUUGGAUUUAAAUUUUCAGAAGUGUUUGCAGGUAUUAUUAGGAAGGGUUGUCCAUUUUCAAGGGAGGUUAUGCCGAAUUUUCAGUAAACUUUCCUUGGAGGUGGUCCCCGCAGGAUUUACUUCGGAUUUCAGGGUGAAAUUCGGGAUGGGUCCUGACAGGUUCUGCCGUCAUCCGGCCACCAAUGGACGCCGGGCCUGUGUCUUUUGAAAGCCUUACUCUUCCUCUAUCAGUAUUGGGUGGUGGUGUGGUGUGAUUGGAAUCGAAAAGAGGUCAGCAAGCUCAAGAACAGUCCGAUCGUGGCUCCGACCGGACAUCGUUAUUCCGGUCAUCUCUCGACGCACAUCGGCUUUCUUAUGGCUUGUCUAGAAGUCGCCGUCACAUUUCUGGGGUGGUGGCUUUCUCCAUCGAGGUCAGGGGAGAGAGGAUCGACGCCAAGAGGCUCAGGUUGCCUCCGGCAACUCUAGCGCUUUAUCGGCGACUCUGGCCUCCGAUUUGGCUACCUGAGAACUUGUGAGGCAAGCCUGUCCAGGUAAGAGGUGUGGAAGGUAAGUUUGCGUUUCGGUGAAGUUUGAUAAUUAAUAGGUUCGGCAAAUGGUAAGGGUUAUAGUUGUUCUGGUUGUAAUCUAUUUGAGUGUGUGGUCUAAAUAGCAAGAUGUUUAUGGCUGUGAUGAUUUAAGGUUUAUCAUUUCUUGUGGAUAUGGUCAUGAUUGGUUGCUCAUGUAUGGUAGCAUUAAACAUCUUAUAUUUGAUUUGUGAUUUGUGAUGUUGAGUUAUCGUUCUUAUAUAUAAAUAUAAGUGUGUAUAUAUAGAUAUGUGUGUAGCUAUGCAUAAGAGUAGUUUUUAUGAAUAUUGUAUGUGUAUAAAUGCAGACUGUGUUUGGGUGAUAUUAAUUAUGAUUUGUUGCCAAAGAAUACGUGAGUGUGGUAUCAAGUUAAUUUCCAAAGUGCGCAAGGAGAAUGGUCAAGGGUUAUAUCUUGUGUAAAUCAUUCAAUGUGUGAUUCAUCGAAUUUGAAAUAUAUGUUGGCUUGUGUUGUUUAGCUUGGUAUUUGUUGAGAGGAGUUAUUGUGUCACACCCCGGACCCGGUGUCGGUGGUUUUCAAGCACCUGACGUCGAACCCGAGGCGUGAACGGGAAAAGUAAAAGAAAAAGAAAAUAUAACAAUUUCAAAUACUUUUCUCGAAAUAAAAUAAAAUAAAACUUUUACAAUAACAAAACCAAUUACAAAAACAAAAGAUGAGCCCUUACGAUCUAUCUCACUUCUAAUCUUCCGUACUUCUCAACUCUUGUACACGUAAGCUAACGUCACAGUUAGUCUUCUAGAAAUACAUGUCCUCGUACAAACCUGAACAAAAAUCUAUAGGGGUAAACUUACGCUCAGUAGGGCCUAACCUUUUUAGGUUAUUAUUAACUACGUCGCAAUCAAGUUGUCAAUAAUACUUUAAAUAAUUAACAAGAAAUCGAUGCAUAAAUGAUAAUGUACUCCCUCCACUCUAUUAUUGGCUAAUUAGUCCAUACACCCAAGACAUAUGUACCUACACGUCCCAUACCGUGUAGAUGUCUCGAAUAUACGACCUAACAAAUCAGUAAUAUAUAAACUCCAAUACCUCUUUUGUUAACCUCAUGGUCCCUAGUCCCGAAACCCAAUAAGAUCGUUUUAUCGACUCAUACGUCGAAAGGGCAUACAUUCCCUACUCAUUUACGCAGGUGGGCUGAUCAUAGCUACUGGAAGUCCCCAUGAGAAAACUCAACUACACAAAAUAUAUAUGUUCUAAUAAUCUCAUUCUCUCCUCUCCAUAAUCACCAAUCUCAUUAUCCUCACAAUUCCUUAUAAUGCAUUAUAUAUGCAAUCAAAUAUCGAUGCGCGUAAUAUAACAUUCAACACAUGCUUUUUAUAGAAAGCAGUAACAUCGAUCAUAUAACUCAACAAUUACACAUGCUUUUAUGAAAAACAGUAACAUCCAAGAGUUAAUCACUCAAUGGCACACAAUUCACUUAUUUCAAUAAUAAUCUAAUUAUCGAUUUAAAUAAAGGUUCCCCGAGAGAGACCCUACCUGGAAUCCAAGCACUAUUUCCGACGCUAGCUAGAAUUAGUCUGCGACACGCGUUCUGAAAUCCUUAUCCUUCUACUCCUGCAAUCCAGCUACUCGCAAUCGAUCCUCGUACUAAAUCUUCAUUCCGAGAAAGUAGGCGAAUCUCUUCAAGUCAAUACGAUCAAGUCCUUGAAAUUGAUAAGGACACCCAUAAGCUCUUUAGCUAAUUUCUACUUCUCAAGUUGUCCAAUUCCUGCACUUCCGAAUACUCACUUCCUCUAAUUGAAAUCAAAGCUCCUAGUUCCAUUUCGCAAAUCAACUUCAAUAUUUCAAGUAGUACCUCAAUGCACCCAAUAUACCAGAUUCUAUUAUUCCCCCCAUAGUUCAAUACAUUAGUUUAUUCUUCCAUACAAAACUAACAUAUUGAACGUCCCCCGAGCUGCAUAAUGCAUGUUGACAAUGUCUGCCAACACCAACAGUCAAUUACCAGAUCUUAGUUGCAUCAUUCAACUCCGGCAAGUUCAGUAUUAGUGCUAUACACAGUCAUAUUCCCCUCCCUGCUCCAAUAACACAGCUCCAUUUCCUAUCACCCAAAUCUCAUGCAAAUUUUCUGACAUUCAAGGACUUCAAAUCAUGUAUACAUGCUCAAUACAGGAACCCAGACCCAGAAAUCAUAACCACAACUACCGCCGUCGCCGUGAACAGUGGUAGCCACGGCAGUCAACACUGCCCAGAAUCCAAAUCCUCCAUCUCUCAACAAAACUCAAUUCCAAUUAUAGAAACAUGUAAAGCUCAUCGAAUAGACCAACUUUAAUACCUGAGUCGACAUCAAGCUUCACCGGAAUCCGUCGAACCCACGCCGGAAAACUCAGAAACUUCAACCCUUCGAAUCUCCCUCCUCAGAGCUCGUCUUGGACAACCAAGGACAUAGAGAGGUUCACCAAGUCGAGGUGAAGCUACCAACACCAUCCAUGCCCGCCGUCGCGGCCGGAAUCCAAAGUUGGCCGGCGAACCCAACCUUUCUUCUUCUUCUUCUUCGAUUCUUCUUCACCGGAUUUCAUCUCUGAAAAUAAAUAUCAUGGAGAAGACCAGGACGUCGAGACAAAGCCAUCGCCGGAGGAGGGAGCGGCAGCCGGGUCGACCCGUCGCUGGCGUUCGGGUGGGCAGAGACCCGGUCUGUGUCUAAACUGAUCUGAUCCCCUUCUCUCUUCCUCUAUGUAUAUACACCCUCAAACCGACUUCAAUUUUUUUCCAUUUUCAAUUAAUUUUUGGAUGGGUUCCGAACCUUUUCAAAAAUAAUUUCGGGAUAAUACUAAAUUUUUAAAAAUCAUUAAAAAUAGCUCCAAUGUCUAAACGAUGUUCCGAAAAAUCUUACGAACUCGUAACGACUUCUAAUUUAAUCCUAUGGGCUCGAAAGAUAAAAUUUGACAAACUAAAAAUUUGAAUAAUUUUCGAAACCCAUAAAGAAUUGAAAGAAUAAUAGAAAUUGAAAUAAAAAUAACUCGAAAAUAAUUUUCCUUUUAAAAAUAGAAAUUUGAAAUUCCAGAAUGUUACAUAUUGGUAGGAAGGUUGUGAAUUUUGAAGAAGUUUUGGUUAUGUUUGAGAUUAGUCAAAGUUAGGUUUUGUCGGUGUGCAAUUCGGGAAGAUUCAACCGUUGGGUUUUCUUUAUUUCUAAUUUAGGAUGUGAGAAUCGAUGGCAACAAGAUUAUGGUGGAGUUUGGUGGGAAUCCAGUAAAUUUAACUCUAGUAAGUGUAUGCGGAAGAGUUUCAAUGUUUGGAUUAAAGUGGUUCAUAUUUAUCUCGUGAGUUCUAUCUAGUGGGCCGAGAUAUUUAUCUCGUGAGCUCUAUAUUACCUUCCUAUUUCACACUUCAAUGAGUGUUGUAUUAUUUCAUUGGUUGAGUGGAUCUUAUUAAUCUGCUAUGUACAUGGAAAAAAAAUUAUGAAUUAUAAUUUAGAUGUUUCUGUAUAAUUUUAGUCACCAUACUAGGGUCGUUUUUAUUCAUUACUAACUAGCUUUUAUUAGCGGUCCUCACCAUAGGUGAGUCGAGCUCUUAACGUGGGACGCUACUAUAGGCUGGGAGGCCCCGAUCGGUUUUUAUUUAUUGCUAGCUAGCCAUUAUUAGCGGUCCUCACCAUGAGUGAGUUGAGCGCUUAGCUUGGGACGCUACUAGAGUCUGGGAGGCUUCGACCCUAGCUUGGGAGGCUCAUCUUUGUGGUGAAACAUUUUUCCCUUUCCAUGAUUGCUACGAACCAAUGGGAUUGGUUCAUCACUUCUAUUUUUAGAAGCAUUAUUGGUUGAGCUUGAUUGUUGACUUGUGAUUUGAGAUAUAUAUUGAUCGAGCAUACUAAUUAUGAAAUGUGGAAUUGUUGAGUUAUUUGGUGCGGUAGAGUUGUUGAUGUAAAUAUAAUAACUUGACCCCUGUCGUUGAUAUAGUGGGUGGGUGGUUGUGGAUAUGAAGAGCUAACAGCUUUAGGGGUUGAGUUGAUAUGUUUAACUUAUUAUGUACAUGAUAGAUUUUAUAAGUUAUAAAUUAUGGCUACAGGUGUUGAGGAUGUAGAUCGUUGAUAUACUGGUGUUUUUAUGGGUUUCUUUACAGGUCAGGGUUGUCCACUUUUAGGGGAAGUUCUGCCAAAUUUUCGGUAGAAUUUUCGUUUAGAGGUGGUCCCCGCAGGACCUUCUUGGGUUUCGGGAUGAAAUUCAGGACGGGUCUUGUCAUUAUUGACGACGAUGAAAUAGAACCUCUGUUGAAAAAUGUCAACGUAGAGCAGAUUGGCCGAAAUAGAAAGAUGCAAUCCAGGCAGUUCUAGACUCCCUAGCGAAAAGGCAAGUUUUUGGUCCGGUUGUGCCAUGCCCACCAAAUGUUAAGCUUGUUGGACAUAAAUGGGUCUUUGUUUGGAAGCGUAAUGAGAAGAAUGAAAUCAUGUGAUAUAAAGCUAAACUUGUGGCGUAAGGAUUCUCGCAAUGCCCUGGUAUUGAUUAUAAGGAGACUUAUUCUUCUGUUAUGGACGUCAUUUGUCACAUCCCGACCCUUAUAUUUUUACCUUAUUUACUAACGUGAUUAUAAUAAGAAUUUUACCGUCUCGAUCAUUGAGUAAAUAGUUUAAUUGGUCCCUAGAGGGGUUUCGGGGACGAUUAUGUGCGGAGGAUUAUUCGUAUGAGGAAAAUACGACGACGGUAAAAAUGGUAAUUUUUGCUAGUAAAAGGUAAUUUUUAUUCGGGUAUUAUUUUUUCGGGGUGUUUUUAUUUUGGAGGUUUGGGUUAAAAGGGAGUGUUGGGUCGGCUGGGCCGAGCCCAACCCAUUUCUUCUUCUUUUCUUUCUCUCUCUCCCUCCCGAUUUCCUCUCCGCACCCGAGCCUCCCGCUGCCCGGUUUUCCGGCUGCCCUCCCGCCGCCGUCCGGCCACCGACCGCCGCCGCACCGGUCCCGUUCGGUCGGUCUCCCUCCCAGCAACAUUUCUAGACCGGUGACAGCCCCCCUAGCGCCGCCGUGAGUGAGCGGUGCCGCCAGAAAGAACCGACUGCCCCGAGCUUCCCUUCGCCGGAACUUCCUCCUCCGGCCACCAAUCCGGGCAAGCUUGGUACGGUUUUGUAGCCCUCCUCCCGUGCAACAACCCCUCCAAACAGCUCCCUCCCUCUUGAGCUAGGUAAGGAGAAAUGUGGAGUUGAAAUUUCUAGGCUUUUAAGUUAUUUUCGUUCGAUUAGCCUAGUUAGACUUGGAAUUGGGUGAUGUGUUGGUCAUGAAAGUUGUAGAGGAGAUUGAGAGGAAGAUUCUGUUAAAAUUUGGUAGCAUUUGCAGGUCGCCGGAAAACGGCUGCCGGUGGAGCCGCCGGCGGCGCCGCCGCCGGUUAGGAAAUUUUUAGGGUUUUAAAUGUGGAAUAUUAAGAGGAGUAUAUUGGUGUGAUUUAUGGAAUUUUUGGAGGAGAUUUGGAUAGGUUUGAGAAUUUCCGAAGUGUGGUAUUUUGGCGGUAAUUAAUGUAGAAUCCGGCCGUAGGAUUUAAGUCGUANNNNNNNNNNNNNNNNNNNNCCUUUCGUUGCCCAACUCAAGUGACUCUAAACCACGAAGUGUUUAUGCCAUCAGAUUGAGGCGUUCACUAAAUGGAUUGAAACAAUCUGAACGAAUGUGGUAUACUCGUCUAAGUGAUUACUUGAUUGGAAAGGGAUACAAGAACGAUGAUUUGUGCCCAUGCGUGUUCAUAAAAAGAACAAGUUCUGGAUUCGCAAUUGUAGCAGUCUAUGUUGAUGGUAUGAAUAUCAUUGGAAAUCUCAACGAGAUUAAUGAGACGGUUAGCUACUUGAAAUCCGAGUUUGAGAUGAAAGAUCUUGGGAAAACUCAAUUUUGCCUAGGCCUUGAACUAGAGUAUCGAGGGACUCAAAUCUUAAUACACCAGUCGGCUUAUGUCCAAAAGAUUCUCCUGCGAUUCAAUAUGGACAAAAGCACAUCCUCUUAGCACUCCCAUGAUUACCUGAAAUCUGGAUAUUGCAAAGGAUUUGUUCCGUUUGAAAGAUGACGAUGAAGAGAUCCUAGGAGCUGAAACUCCAUAUCUUAGUACGAUUGGAGCUCUGUUAUAUUUGACUCAUUGCACUCGACCAGACAUUGCAUUCUCUAUGAACUUGUUAGCUAGAUUUAGCUCUGCGCCAAUGCAUCGUCAUUGGAAUGGUGUUAAGCACAUCUUCAGGUAUCUAAAGGGUUCCAUUGAAUUAGGCCUGUUCUUUCCUACAGUGAAACAAGAGAGCAAAAGAUCAUGUCUGUGAUCGGUGGAUCACAGCUCUCAGUCUCCCACCGAGAGACUAUGUCUGACGAUGCCAUGGUCGUAGGUCAUGCGCACUGCAGACUAGUCCCUUAUCUUGAUACACCUAAUAAUGUGUUAGUUGGAUUUACUGAUAUUGGGUAUCUCUCUGACCCACAUAAAAGACGUUCCCAAACUGGUUAUGUGUUCAUAAUUGGGAAUACGGCAAUAUCUUGGAGAUCAACUAAGCAAACCCUUGUUGCUACUUCCUCAAAUCAUGCUGAGAUAUAUUAUUGCACUACAUGAAGCAGUUAAAGAAUGUGUUUGGCUUCAGUCUGUAGUGUCUCAUAUUCGAGAGUCUAGUGGAUUACCAUCUACUACGGUUGGACCAACUUGCAUCUAUGAGGAUAAUGCGGCUUGCAUUAAACAUAUGAAGUUAGGUUACAUUAAGGGUGAUAAUACUAAACAUAUCUCGCCGAAGUUCUUUUACAAUCAGCAGUGGCAACUGUUUUUGAAUAUCUAUGUGAACCAGGUGAGUUUUAAGGAUAAUGUAGCAGAUUUGUUCACCAAGUCUACCCAAAUCUACCUUUAAGAAAUAUGUGAAGAGCAUUGACAUGUGUCGUUUAUCUGAACUCUGAGAUUGAGUUACCAAUCAGGGGGAGUCCUUCUGUAGACAUCAGAUGAGUCUACAUCAACUGUUAUAUUCAAUUGUAGUUGGUGUGUUGUGUUCUUUUUUCUUUCGUCCAAGUCUUUUGUCUUGCCCAUGAGAUUUUUGUUUUGUUGGCAAAGUUUUUAAUGAGGUAACAUAACAUGCACUAUGUCGUAAAGACACACGACACAAAGGGAAAUAUUUAAGGAAAUUACUUUCCUGUUCUUCGGUUAUGUGUCUUGACCUAAUCGUUUCCUUAUUAGAAUAUAUUAUAAUAUUGAUAAAACUUCUAAUUCCUUUGGGAGACUCUAUGUAAUACCUAUAAAUAUGUAUUUCUAUCAAUAAAUAAGUAGACCGUUAUUAUCGUUAUUUUCUCUCCUACAACAAGAACUAGUUUAUUCAAAAAAAAAUAAUUAAAAACUAGUUAGUGCUUACGAGUUGGUCAUAUGUGGCAUUGAACAACUGGGGAGUUAUCAUUUUCUCGAACAAAGCAUUAAAUUCUCAACUUAAAACUACUUUAGAAUGGGUGUCUGGGCUAAUUGUUGAAGUUGAUGAACAACAUGAGACAUUCUGGGGCGCAUUGAUGGCACAUGCUGUGUACAAGCAUAAACAAGGUCCACCACCUUCUGAAUCACACUGGCCUCUGGAAUAUCAGACGAAAAAGCAGUUAUGUGCGGAUCCAGGAGAUCUGGGUAUCGAUGAGCUUGGACAAGGGGUGUUGCCCACUCGAAAAUACUCUGCCAACCGACUGAAUCAACAGCCUGGGCAGGCCUACGUCCGCUCACAAUUUCAAGCAGUAGCACGCCAAAACUAUAAACGUCACUCUUUGUUGUAAGCUCAUUUCUGUACACAAACUCUGGAGCCAGGUAUCCAUACGUGCCACCAGCUAUCACUGUCCUCUCAUGCAUCACUUCAUAUGGCACAAACUUUGAUAGACCAACCCCCAUCAGAUGGGCUCCAAAAUCUUCAUCAAGAAGUACAUUACUAGCACGGAUAUCCCGAUGCACAACAUGGGGCUUAACCUUGUCAUGUAGAAACCUGUUGUAAAAUAAAUUAUGGGCAAACACCAGUUAAAUAAAAAACAGUCUCGCAUGAUUCCAUCCUAGCAACGCAAUAAUCCAGUGUCUCGUAGGCUAAAGCACAUAAAGCACUAAUGAUCAAACCUUGGUUACACUCUUAAUAAUGGUGUUGAACAAGAUAAAAUUCACUAUCAGUUUAUUCAUAAGUUUUCCAAAUUGAGCAAGUUCGUCAAAACAUCGUUUUCUUUUGCUUUCACAAUGCGUCUAGCGUACAAAUUUCAAAAGCAAAUCAAGUUUUUUCAUCUACUUCAGGUUAACACAUAAAUUUUCCAAAAAAAUUUGUGUUUUCUCUACAAGUCACUAGGUUUAAGCUCCAUCAUGCAAGAUCUGCCAACAGAAGAUCCUAAAUAUAACUACUUCUAGCAGAACAUCCUAAAGAACAUAGGAAAGAAGCAUUAUAAUGAAUAGCAUCCUUGUACAUUUCAACAGGUGUUCACUUAGGUUGAGAAAUUGGGUCAUAUGGCAACAAUCAGAUAUGACGAUCACAUGAUUAUGGAUAUAAAUUUCAUAAAACAGUAACCCUUUUAUAUUAAAGGAGAUAUGUAAGUAAAACACCAUCUCGUCAAGUGUUUUCUGGACGAAGAACAAAAGACUAAAAAAUUCAAUGAAGAAAGAACGUACUACAUGUUGGAAUAUGAUGGAUGGCAAGUAAACACACCAAUUAAGAUAUGCAGACAACUGUACCAAAAAUAGGAGUCACUUGCUAGAAAAUGGUGUGAUCCAUAGACAGUUAUGAUUCCACUGUUCAUGUGAACGAUGGCAAUACCACCCCAGCAGAAUUAUCAUGUGAAUGCCUUUACAUUAGAUAUAAAACCAAUAAAAGAUGAUACAGAAUGAAUGCAUUCAAAUAUUUGAUGUCCAUAUUGGAAAAGAGAAAAGGUAAUUAGUAACUUACGCAAUUCCUUGAGCAAGAGUUGUCGCAAUUUUCAUUCUCAUCACCCAAUCUAAGCUUCGACCACCCCUUGGUAUGUGGUGUAGCCAUCUAUCUAAAGGACCAUUAACUAUGUACUCAUAAACUAUAUAGCGGUCACCAUGAUCAUAACAGCAGCCUUUCACUGACACCAAAUUUGGAUGAUGAAGCUUCGCAACCCUUCCAAUUUCAGAAUAAAAUUCCUUUUUCCUUUGAAAACUAGACUUCUUCAAUCUCUUCACCGCUACCCUUGAACCAUCAGAUAGAAGCCCAGCAUAUGUACCACCUGUCUUGGCAUCUCCCAAAAGACGGUUUCCUUCACUAAAAUUCUUUGUAAUAGACCGAAGUUCCUCUUUCAUGAACACUUUCCAUGAUGGAGGGACUAAUGCAGUAGCAGCUGGAUUAGACAGUUUGCGGGAACGUCUGCGCUUCUUACUCCGCUUGUAUGCAAGAAGCCAUAUCACUACAGCUAAUGUCGUGAAGAGGAUUAACCCACUUACAACUCCAAGGAUGAUGAGAUAUUCUCUGUGGCAAUGCAUGUGGUAACAUCUGAUUCCUGAAAGAAACAGGAGCAAAGUACUAAUUAGCUUAUUGGGAAUUGUGAGAUCGAAGCAUACCAUGAUUUGGUUGUGACAUUUACCUAAAUCAGCCAUGCAUAUAAAAGCAUGAGACAUGUGGCACGUAUCAAAUAAGAGUGAUAUAGAUUCAUUAGUGACCAAUACACAGACAUCAACAGAACUAUUGGUGUGACAUGACAUAUUACUGCAUACGGAUUGAAGGGGUUCCCCAGGAAACAGAGACACAUUCCAGUAUGAAUUGUUAUCAGACCAACUCCAACCAAGACCAGAGGUAGAGUUGACACCUCUUCCUCCAAUCCAACAGCCACUGAUGGUUUCAACACAUAGGUUUUGAGCAAAGGUAAUUUCUUGAGAUGUAGCAAGUGUGGCUAACUGUCCAUUAGAACUUUUACAAUGGGUCUCUGACUCAUUCCAUGAUUUGGGGCUUCUAAUAUAAGCAAAGCAUUUCCGCUUAUUAGGUCCACGAAUCCAACCCUUGGGGCAUGGUUCUGUUCAGAAAGAAACAAUUGAAGUUAAUAGCUUGAUUAUGAACUGAUAAACUUGGUUGAAGCAUUUCAGUUCCAAUAAAACAAAAUAUUAACAGAUACACUUAAACAAAAAUAAAUAAAUCUUUGGUGACAAUAACAGAUGCUAUAUUUGGCACAACUGAAGUUACCGGUGCCAUAUCAUAGGGAUGUAAACUAAUGCUGCUAUUGAGGGAACAUGUCUUCAAUACUUUCAGCUUUAAAUAAAAAUAUACCCAGUUAUAGAAGCAGCAUAGGCAUCUUUUUGUGUAUCCUCUGCAACCAAUGAUAACUUGGUUCAUUUCUUUUAUCAUAAGUAUCCUAUACACAAAAACAGCAUGUUUUCUGCCAUCACAGACCUCAGCUGCCACAGUCCCAACUGUUCUAUAUAGGCUGGUCAAAACUUAAUAUUUCUUUCGCUGAUGUUUGAAGAAACAACAACACCCUAUCAGAAUGUUUGUAAAAAACGUAAGAAAUCAAAAAAAUUCAAUUACUAUUAUAAAUGUCUGCAAAGCUUGUCUAAGUGAUCCCAUUAAAAUUCUUGAGCAUGAGAAAACUUGAAUCAUUUCCAAGACAAGGACAAAGGUCAAAGGAAUCGCUUUCUAUACGAGGCAUGCUAAUAGCUUUGAAUAUAACUUGAUUGCUAGCAAAUUUGAGGAAAGUAAGUCAGACCUUUACUUUCUUCAGUUCCAGAAUCCACCAAAUCAGAAGGAACCUAAAGAAGAAGAGUGUAGGGUAGCUUCAGUAACUGGAUCCCCAAUCUGAACUUAAAUCAAACAUGGGCACUGUACCUUAUCUGAGACACACGAACGGCAAAUAACCAGAAGCAGAACCAAUUGCAGCUUUCGAUCCAUCAGAACCAUCUCACAAACCCUACAAGCAGGUAGAGUAAGUAAGAAAAUGCAGUUAAACCCUAAUAUUUGUGAGCUAGACAAGUAAACCUUGGGUACGAAUGAAGGGAAACCCAGAGCAGAAGAAAGCGAGAAAUGAAAUGGGUGUGGCCAUGGCUAAGUAUGUGGGUCAGGUUUGUCAUUCAUUUUUGGGUCCCAAUAGUAACGACUGCUUCUCUCUUAUUUUGCUCCUCCUCACUGACACAUUCACCUACUCAAACAGAACCUCUAAUCAAUUCUCAGCUAAUACUCAUGGCUGCGAGGCAAAGAGAGAAUAGUCUUCGGCCUCGCCGAUUGUGCUCUUUGGGUGAUUGUAGGAUUGUAGCCUUGUAGGCCUGUAUAUGUCAGGCUUGGGCCGGCCUGGGGUCUUAAGGUUUGAUAGCUCAGGUAUUACUUGGUUCUGGGCUUUCUUAGCCUUAGAGCAACUCAAUUAGUGACUAUAAUCCGGUCUUGGUUUUAAAAUAGGACUCCAUCUCCAAAAGCAUGUUUUAAAGGGUUUUUACUUUCAUUUUGGUUUCGGUUUUAUAAGACUUGGACCCAAAAUAGGUCUAGGGCAAGUCCAACGGUGGGUGUAAAAACUAGUCUUGGUCUUAUAUAGAGACUCCAACAUGACAAAUAUGGUGGUGCUGGUCUUGGAAUUAUAGGACCAAGUCCUAUUCUCAGUCUUAAAAUUGAUACAAUUCCAAGACCAAGACUCGGGGCUCAUUGAAAUUGGGUUAGGUCCGUGCUACUGCAAAAGAAACGCGCUUGCAGGAAGACGGAGGGAAACACACUCUUUAAGAGAGCGAAAGUGACGGGAAGCGCGCUGGAGCGCUUGCGUUUGUAGAUUUCUUACAUGUGGGCCCCCAUAUUGAGCUACACAGCCAACUGUCUUCAUUUGUCUGUUGGAGAACAAUGACUAUUAAAUGGACUACUCAGAUUUGCUUUGAAAUCAAAUUGGACAAUCUCGAUUGAUUGCCCAAUAAUUUACUCCAACGAUAAGAAACAAAUCUGCAACCUAGAUUAUGGCCAGAAUUGACACGACCCAUCCCGAAUUUCACCCUGAAACCCAGAGUAAGUCGUGCGGGGACCACCUCCAAGGAAAAUUUACUGAAAAGAUUAAGAAAAUCUCCCUUGCAGAUGGACAACCCUAACUCGAAAAUUUCAUAUUACACUCUUAAUUUAAUGCUUCUAAAUAUCACAUAAUAUACAAAAUUCUAAAGUAUUCAGAGCUACUAAACACAAGCGGAAGCAAGAAAACACGAGUAGGUUGAACAGGUAACCUACUGAUGAAAACUGGCCGAAAAGCGGGUGACUAUGCCUCGUCUCCUACUAGAUCCAACCCGAACUCUGCAGACUGGGCAAUUUAAAACGAAGGGCCCAGGGGAAAACAUUUAANNNNNNNNNNNNNNNNNNNNNNNNNNNNNNNNNNNNNNNNNNNNNNNNNNNNNNNNNNNNNNNNNNNGACUCACGUCACGCCUUAAUGCGGUGCUACACUACGCCAUCAAGGUGGACAGACGGGUGUAUAAAUAUGUGCCCAUACCCCCUAUAUGAAUUAAACACUCAUAUAGGGCUACUACGUUUACGUCCAACGCUCACGUCACACCAUAAUGCGGCUAUAUGCUACGCCAUUAAGGUGGACAGACACAUAUGGCUAGCUAGCAUUUUUUUAUACAUACUCUCUCAUAUAUACAUAUUUAUAUUCACCGAAAAUCCCAUUUUCGGUAACUCUCUCUCAGAGAAAUAAAAGCGUCAAAAUUAAUUGACGGCAAAAUACUCCACGACAUUAAUUAUUCAAUCGUGAACUUAGCAUGCAUUUAUUUAAAACAAAAGUCCACUCACAAAUUAGGCCUAAGCCUGAUGUCAAUCUGGGAUCUCGUCUGCUCGAGCCUCUUCACGUCCUGUUCCAAAUAUAAUAUUAAUUUCCCAACCAAUAUCCAAUAUUUAAUCAAAAUAGGCAAAAUUACCCGAGAGCCAUUAUUACGCUCAUCAUUGCCUAACUUCGAUAUUCUUACAUCGGAACAAUCCGAACUUAAAUAUCAUACUCAACAGUCGUAAAUACAACCUCCCCAAAAUACGACUUAAAUCCUACGGCCGGAUUCUACAUUAAUUAACCGCCAAAAAUACCAAACUUCGGAAAUUCAUAAACCUAUCCAAAACUCAUCCAAAAAUUCCAUAACUCACUUCAAUAAUAUCCCCUUAAUAUUCUACAUCAAAAACCAUAAAAAUCUCCUAACCGGCGGCGGCCGGAGGUCAAUUCCGGCGACCUCCAAAACCUAUGAAAUUUUAACAGCAUCUUCCUCUCAUCAAGCUCUACAACUUUCAUAACUAGCACAAACACCAAUUCCAAGCCUAACUAGGGCAAUCGACUAAAAACAUCAAAAACACCAUAAAACUUCCACCUCAAAUUUCUCCUUACCUAGCUCAAGAGGGAGUGANNNNNNNNNNNNNNNNNNNNCGGGUGCGGAGAGGAAAUCGGGAGGGAGAGAGAAAGAAAAGAAGAAGAAAAUGGGUUGGGCUCGGCCCAGCCGACCCAACACUCCCUUUUAACCCAAACUUCCAAAAUAAAAACACCCCGAAAAAUAAUACCCGAAUAAAAAUUACCUUUUACUAGCUAAAAUUUACCAUUUUUACCGUAGUCGUAUUUUCCUCAUACGAAUAAUCCUCCGCACAUAAUCGUCCCCGAAACCCCUCUAGGGACCAUUUAAACUAUUUACUCAAUGAUCGAGACGGUAAAAUUCUUAUUAUAAUCACGCUAGUAAAUAAGGUAAAAAUAUAAGGGUCGGGAUGUGAUAAGAAUAAUUCCUUUUUAAACUCGUUAUGACCUCAAAAAAAAAAAAAUUCAUAAAUAACAGAAAAAAUAAUAGAUCCGUUGCAAUAUGUUUUUGGAAGAAAUAUAAAUAGAAACCCAAGUUCUCAACAAAUUCCUCACACCAAAAUCGUCUUCUCCUUGCAAAUUUUUCAUUUAUUCAAUACUUCUUCUUCUUCAAUUUUUUUCAAGUGAAAAAAAUGGGCAAAAGAAGGGAUUCAUGGAGGCACAAUGAAUAAGUAAUUAUUUGCCAAGCUUGGAUCACCGUUGAUGGUGAUGGUGUCAUUGAAACAAAUCAAUCAGCGGAUAGAUUGUGGGAGCGUAUAGUGGUGGAGUACAAUGCGCAAAUACCGACGGAUUGCAUGUCACAUCCCGAUUCUUAAAUUAAAUUACGGUUACUUACUUUUGAGUUACUUGGACUUUUUACCGUUUUGAGUAACCGUUUACAGUUAAAGGACCCUAGAGUUGACUUUUUGUAGGAAAAUUAUUUUGGAAAAAUUUCUUUAAGGAAGUCGUAGAGGAUGUUAAUACGAAUCCGUGGACAUGCUAUAUAUUAAAAUCAGAGUUCGUAUGUAAAAGUUAUGAUGUAAAAUGUAAAGUUACUAUUUUAAUUAGGGGUAUUAAAAAUGGAAACUUACCAUUUUAGGUAAGGUAAUAAAUCAGUUUUCACACCCUCACUCUCUCUUCUCCCUCCCACGUCUCUCUCCUCUGCCGGGAUUCCCUGCCUUCGUCCGCCGUCGUCCGGCCGAGAUAGGCGGCAAACUUGGUACCAAAUUGAAGCUCAGAGCAUCCUCUAUAAGUCUAGGUAUAGGUGGCAGCCCGUGUCGCACCACCGUGAGAGAGCAAGCUAGCCGUGAAGUCGCGGAUGUUCCGUGGUGGUGUUCUCGUCGGAACUUUCUUUUUCGGCCACCAUAGCCGGAGCUGUUGGUCUCAUUUGGAAGCUCUUCUCCUGUACAACAAAACCUCAAAAGGUUUCAAUCCAUCUUGAGUUAGGUAAGGAGAAUCGGGCAUUUGAAACUCUAGGGUAUAAAUUGGGAUUUUUAUUAUUUGAUUUCGAUUACCCUAGUUAGGCUUGAAAUUGGACUUUGUGCUAGUUAUGGAAGUUGUUGUGCAUGUUGAGAGGAAGAUUGUGUCAAAUUUUGGUGGGCACUGGAGUUCGCGGGAGUUAGGCUGGCCGGCCGCCACUACCGGUGGAGCAGACAGCGUGGAGCAAACAGCGGUGCCGCCUCUUAGGGGUAGUUUUGCAUGUUUUUGAGUUUGUUAUAAUGAGAGGAGUUCAAUGGUGGGAAGUUUGUAAUUUUUUGAGGAGUUUUGGUUAGGUUUGAGAUUUUUUAAAGAUUGAAGAUUUUGGCGGUUGUUAAAAUAAAAAUCCGGCUGUUGGAUUAGCAUGAAUUAAACUUUAAAAAGUUGUUUUAAGGCUAUCGAUGUUUGUGGUGAAGUUCGGGCUUUAAUUUAUUAAAGGUGGAGAAGUUGGGCAAGGGAGAAGAAUAUUUAGGCUCACUUUUAUUUCUGGUAUUUUUAUUAAAGUAUAGACUUAGUUUUGAGAUUUAAUAAUGUCUAUUGUUCAGGACGUGAGGAGGAUCGUGUGGGGGAAGCCUCGGAUUGUCGGCAGACAUAGCCGAGCACUGUGAGUGGACUUUUGAUUUUAACAUCAUGCAGCGUUAAAGUUUUAUUAAUUGCAAAGGCAUAUUGGAGUUUAUUAUAUUCUUUGGAAUAAUGAGUUCUAUUUGUUUUCUGGAACUCUUGCUAUUAUUACAGCAUCCGUAAUUAUUAAUUAAUAUUUCUAAGUACAGUUGGGAACUGUACUGUGCGCUAUUGAUUUAUUAUAUUUUUAGGGAAGUGUUGUUCUUAUCAUUUUAUUAUUUUACUUCACCAUAAAAGGGUUGAUAUAUAUUUAUUAUUGCUAGCUAGCUAUUAUUAGCGGUCCUCACCAUAGGUGAGUAUAACGCUUAGUGUGAGACGCUAUUAUAGCCUGGGAGGCACCGACCGGUUUAUAUUUAUUGUUAGCUAGCCUUUAUUAGCGAUCCUCACCAUAGGUAAGUAGAGCGCUUAGCGUGGGACGCUAUUAGAGCCUGGUUGGCUCCGACCCUAGCCUGGGAGGCUCAUCGUUAUGGUGAAACCUCUUCCCCAUUUUUAUGAUUUAUUGGAACCAAUGGGAUUUGUUCAUCACUUUAAUCCAUAAAUAUUAUUGGAAAAUUUCAAGAGUGGCAUGCAUAAAUGUUUCUUAACGGAAAAAAAUUUGGGAAAACAUAAACUUUGGUUUCAUUGCUCCAUAUUUAAGUUAAUAUUAUUGUUAUUUAUUUUUGUCCAAUCAUGCUAACGAUUUUAAAUGCUUUUCCCCUGGGCCUUUCGUUUUUAAAUGCCCAGUUUGCAGAGUUCGGUUCGGCGAGUGUAGGAGGCGAGUCAUAUUUUCCACCUCAUUCAGUUUCCGCUCAUAGGUUACCGGUUUAACCUACUUAUAUUGUCAAGACCCACCCCGAAUUUCACCCUGAAACCCGAGGUAAGUCUUGCGGGGUCUACCUUCACGGAAAAUUUACCAAAAAUUCGGCAUAAUCUACCUUGAAAAUGGACAACCCUUACCUGAAAAAUUCUAGAUACACUUCCAUAAUAAACCAUCCAACCUCAACCCUGGAGCCUUCCUGCUCCCCAAGUUCAUGACAUCUCCCAUAAUAUAACUAGCCUUAAUCAAAUACUAACUAUCUCAAAUGGUUAUCAAAGCACAUCUAUAAUGAAAUAAAAACAAUGAAUAAAGACUAAGCGGAAGUAGCCUCUGAUUAUGCCUCGACUCCAUGUGUACGCUCGACCUCAUUUAAACUUAGCCUGCAAACUGGGCAUUUAAAACCAAAGGGCCCAAGGGAAAGUAAUUUGAAACGUUAAAGUGAGUGGACAAAAAAAUAAAUUAAAUAACUUAACAAAAACAUAAUUUAUAUACUUUCCCAUGUUUAAACUUUAAAACUUGGUUGCACGCAACUUUAAACGUCCUUAAAACUUUAAAUCCAAAUUCAUUUAAUAAUGGAUAGCCCAGCUCCGCUGGUUAAAUAAAACAGAAAUCUCAAAAUGAGGGAUAAACCUGCCCCGCUGGUUAAUCAAUUAUAUAACUGAGAAAAAUAAAUAAGGGGAAGAGUUAUCACCAUGUAAAAGGAGCCUCCCAGGCUAUAACAGCGUCCAACGCUAAACGCUUCACUCACCUAUAGUGAGAACCGCUAAUAAUGGCUAGCUAACUAAUAAAUAUAAAUACCGAUCGGUUGCCUCCCAGGCUAUAAUAACGUCCCACGUUAAGCGCUAUAUUCACCUAUGGUGAGGACCGCUAAUAACGGUUAGCUAGCAAUAAUCAAUAUAAGCAAACCCUAUAUUAUGGUGACUAAAAACAUACGAAAUCACUUAAAUCCAUUAAACUUCCCCAAUAUCAUACGAAUGGUAACGGUUCCCAAUUGUACUUGAAAAUCAUCAUAAGAAAUUAUAUUAAAACUCAAUGACGUGUCCCACACGUCAAAAUAUUCUCAAAUUUAUAAAUAUAAGCGAGAUUUCAAUAUCAAAUAUAAAUCAUAAAUAAUAAUAUCUCCACUCGAAAAUACUCGUUAAAAUAUUCUCCCAGUCAAAAUCAUUAUGCCUCAAAUAAACAAUUAAAUUAUGAUGGAGAACUACCGAAAAUCCCAUUUUCGGUAAUCAUUUAUAAAUCUCAAAGUCAUCAAAAUAAAACCGAUAAUAUUUAAAUCCGGAGUCAUAAAGAAUAUCAAAACUCAAAUACCAACUUUAUAACCUGAGCUCAAAUCCAUAAAUCAUGACCAACACUUAAUCAAUGCUUCAAACUCAAUAAAUUCAAGACCAUAACAGAAACUGAAAUUUUAAUAUAAGCUUGGUAAAUAAAGUAAUAAAUUAUAAAAUCUCGCAUGCUUAUUUAUUAAAAUCAAAGUGUCCACUCACUGUAUACGGCUAUGCCUGCCGUCGAUCUGAGGUCUCCCAACACGAUCCUCCUCACGUCCUGAACAAUAAAUAAUAUUAAGUCUCCAGACUAGAUUAAAGCUUAGAUAAAUAUUUCCAAAAUAAAAAGGAAGCCUAUAAUUUCAUCUCCCUUGCCCAACUUCUCCACUUUUAAUCUAAUAAGGCUCACAUUACUCCGCACUUACCGAUAGCCAUAAAUUAACCUUUUUAGAAAUUAAAACCUGCUAAACCAACUGCCGAAAUUCCAUUCUAAUAACCGCCACAAUUCUUAACCAUUGAAAAAUCCCAAACCUUAUCAAAACUCCUCAAAAAAUUCCAAACUUUACUUCAUUAAACCCCCCUCAUUAAAACCAUCUCAAAAACAUGAAAAACUGUCCUUAAGAGGCAGCAGCGCCUCCUGCUCCGCCGGCAGCGGCGGCCGGCAGCCGUACUCUGGUGACCUCCAAUGCUUCCUAAAUUUUAACAUAACAAUCCUCUCAAUCCGCACAACAACUUCCUUAACUAGCACAAAAUCCAAUUCUAAGCCUAGCUAGGGUAAUCGAACCAAAAUACUGAAAUAUCCCUAGAACUUCAAUUAUACAUUACUCCAUAACAAGAUCGAAUUGAACCGAUUCCUUUUGAAGGAUUACUAACCUUGAUGAGAGCUUCAAGAUGAGCUAAAAAUCCUGAGCUAUGGUGGCCGAAGGAGGGAGCUUCGGCGAAGGGGCAGUCAGGUCUUUAGGGGAGUUUUCCUCUUAUCCGGCGGCGUCGCUGGCUCGGACACUAGCCCAGGUAGGGAGAGGAGAUGACGGGGGUCCGAACGGAGUUGGUCCGGCGGUCUAUGGUUGCCGAACGGCGGCGGACGGAGGCUGGGUCUCCGGCGGGUCGGGAAGAGUUCAUGGGAGAGAGAGAGAAGGAAGAGAGAGAGAGAGAGAGAGAGAGAGAGAGAGAGAGAGAGAGAGNNNNNNNNNNNNNNNNNNNNNNNNNNNNNNNNNNNNNNNNNNNNNNNNNNNNNNNNNNNNNNNNNNNNNNNNNNNNNNNNNNNNNNNNNNNNNNNNNNNNNNNNNNNNNNNNNNNNNNNNNNNNNNNNNNNNNNNNNNNNNNNNNNNNNNNNNNNNNNNNNNNNNNNNNNNNNNNNNNNNNNNNNNNNNNNNNNNNNNNNNNNNNNNNNNNNNNNNNNNNNNNNNNNNNNNNNNNNNNNNNNNNNNNNNNNNNNNNNNNNNNNNNNNNNNNNNNNNNNNNNNNNNNNNNNNNNNNNNNNNNNNNNNNNNNUAAACGGUUACUCAACAAGGUAAGAUACCAAAGUAAUAUCAAAAGUAAAUAACCGUAAAAUAACUUAAGAACCGGGGUGUGACAUAUAUAUUUUCUCAUUUCCUUCAGUUAGUUACUCUGAUUACCAUGGGAUGUUGUAUUUAUUUAUGGUUAUGUGUGUUAAGAGUUUAUGACUCAACUUAGAAGUGAUUUGAAAGAUUUAUUUGGUGUUGAAGUUAUGAGAGGUUAAAUUAUGAAAUUGCUUUGAGAUUAUUUUUUUUUUUUUUUUUGUGUUGAGGUGGUUGUUUAUUUGGGGGAGCGGGAGGCUCCAGGAGAUGUUGAUUGAUUUGGUUAUUUAGAAUUGUUGUUGGGAGUUGGUUAUUUUUCAGGUAGGGUUGCCAAUUUUCAAGGGAGGUUAUGCCAAAAUAUUGAUAGAAUUUCCCUUGAGGUGGGUCCCGCAAGGUUUAUCCCGGAUUUUAAAACAAAAUCUGGGGUGGGUCCUGACAUUGCAUAGAGAGAUCACCCGAUAGUUGUAGUGCUCGUUAGAAGAUAUUUAGUCCACUAUGUAUGAAGUGGCGUGAAUCUCUUAACAAAGCCGAAGCGGAUCACCAAAGAAGCAAAAAUAAGGAAGACGAUGUAAGUAUAUUAGUCAUAUGUUUAGUAAUGUUUUAUUUAUUCUUUGUCAAUUAAUUUAUAGAAAAUUAUGUUUGUAGCUAGGUUGCUAUAUAUAAGGAAUAGAUAAGAAAUUAUUUGUGUAGCCAUGAGCAUAUGAGCACUUAAUUUUACUCAUGCUAGAACAAUAUACUUUAGUGUAAGUAAUAUCUAAAUUACUUAAUUUGAUAUGUAGUUCAUGAGUACUAAUGUAUAACUUCAUUUUGUGUCUAUAGCUGGGCUGAUUUUCUAUGAGAAGGUUGGCACGAAUAUUGUCUUUGAUCAUUGUUGGCGAUACUUAAAAAAUACUACAAAGUUUGAGGAAACGCCUUCCACCGAAGCCAUGAACUCACGUAUUCCUACUCCUAUCAACUUGGAAGAAGAUGGAGCACAUGCCAAUGAAGCGGAGCCUACUACAACAAGACAAGCACGACCUCAAGGAUAAAAAGCUCAAAAGCUAGUUAAAAAAAAAAAAGAAAAGGCAAGCAAACAAGAUGCAGAUGUCUUACACAUUCAAAUGCAAAAAGACCCAUGAACAAAGUGAGCGAGAAUACCAACAAAGGCAACAACAAUUUGAGGAAGUUAAACAAAUUAAGCGACGCGCUGAGGAUGAUCGCAUUAUGAUGGUGGAUCUAUCAAUGUUCAAUACCCCAAAAAAGAGGGGUUAAUGGUUAGAAGUAGUGUGUUUUGAGGUUCGAAGGAAGAGCGAAAGUGUUCGGAUGCAUAAGUUACCCGAAUUGGUUUUAUGGUUUUGAAGGGUCAAGAGUUGACUUUCUAAUUUGUUGGGUUUCUCGAGAAACUUCCUUCACAAAAGUUGUAGAGCACGACCAUAUGAGUUCAUAGACAUGUGGCAUGCAUAAAACAGACUUCGUAUGAGAAAGUUAUGGUCAACGGAAGUUCGUGGCUUUACGGGAAUUUGGGAUUAAAUAAGAAAAGUUUUAGGUUUCCAUUUCAUUUUUUCAGGAACCAUUCUUUCUCCCUUUCCCUCUCUCUCCCCGAAUUGUAGCUAUCAAAGUUCUUCAGCUGACCCGACCCGGACCCGGCCGACUCGACCCGACUUUUCCAGCCGACUCAGACGGCGGCACUGGUCAGAAACUCUUCCUCUCCUCGGCGCAAUCCUCCCUAUGUUGGUGAGUGAGGAUGACUCGACCAAAUCGGUGCUAAUCGAGCGCCACAGUGAGGGCGCGACCCGGUUUGCAACCCGACCGAAAUUCUCACCUUCGGCGACUGCGACGGCGACGAGACUUGAAACCGGUCGGGGUAGAAGCUCCUUGGCAUCCUGGUUUGACUUCUGGUUGUCUUGGGGCUCGAUUCGAAGCUUGGUGUUACAGAGUUGGGUUUUGAAAUUUCCGGCGAGUUUCUGACGUUUUCCGGCCAAUUUGAGCUAAACCUCAGGUAUAAAGGGUGCUUCCCUCUCUUCAAUCUACAAGUUUCAUGUUGUGAGAUUUCCCAAAUUCAGAGGUUGAUAGGGUGGCGCGUGGGGUCCACUCGCCGCCGCCACGUCUGGCAUUUUUUAUGGCUUUAGUUGUCUGUGGUUACCAAGCCCUUGUUGUUGUGAGUUUGUUGAGAGAUGGAAAUUCUAGGUUUUGAGCAAGGACUGCACGCUAGGACUUUUUGGUUAAUUUUAGGUUUGUGAGAGGUUUGAGUUUAGGUUUAGAGGAUUAGAGGCAGCUAUAUUGGGUUGUUAAGUUCGACGACCUUAGAAAGUUGUUCUCCUUUGGGCUAAGGGUUAGUUUAAGGGUGUUUUGAUAUCCUAUAGUACCUUGGUUACUAAGGUUAUUAAUUGUGUAAUUUUAGGUGAUUUUGUGAAGUUGUGAUUUGGCUUGGCUUUCUUGUUUUGUUGAAGACGCAGCGGGAUUUAUUAGGUGAGUAACAUCUCACUGAGGUUCACUUUGAGACCAAUUAUUUAUGGUUAUUAUGAUGAUGCUUAUGAUGAUGAUUGUGAUGAUAAUAAUGAUUAUAAUGAUAAAAUGAUGAUGAUGAUUAUAAUUUAAAAAUUAUGUUUUUGUUUGUUUUAAAAUAUAUGAACAUAUAUAUAAAAAAUAAAAUGAAAGUAUAUUUUUAUAUAUACAUAAAUAGUGAGAGAUAUUUCUAGCUUGAUCGCCAACGGCUCAUAGGUAAGAUAAAACAAGUUUUCCUUUUAUAUGAUUAUUUUUAAUGUUCAUGUGAUCAUAAUAUUGUUGGUUCUUGAUAGAUUAUUCUUGUGGGAAUAUCUAUGUUUGUUCAUAUAAAUAUAUCUAUGUGGAAUGAUAUAAUUUUUAUGAUGUGCUCUUUAUGUUGUUGAUGAUGUUGAAUUAAAGAAUGAUGAUGAUUUAAAUGUUAUGCUUUUUAGAUAUUUAUGGUUGUUAUGAUGAUAAUUAUGAUGAUGAUGAUAAUGAUUGACGUGCUCGUUUCCGGGCGCUCAAUUUAAAAACAUUUUUUUUUAUCAGAAUGUAGUAUUGGCAAAUAGGGUUCGAUCAAUCCGGGGACUUAAAGGGCACCCAUGCAGUCACGGUUACACUAAAGAGUCUGUAACUAUAAGUAUUUACAAACAUUCAUUUACAAAUAUACAUAUGGUAUAAGGUAAACAGGGGGGGGGGGGGGUUUUGAGAGUUUGUUCUUCGUUCCUAAAAACAGAAAAUAAGAUAUGUAUAAGUGAUCGAUUCAUUCCACACAUCCAUCAGAGAGAAACUCAGAUUCUGACCACACAUCAAAGUUCACGUUUCAACCUUAGCAAUUUGAUAACAUGUCAAUUCAGAGAACUAUAAACAAUCUCCAAACACAAGCCUACGAGGUCAUGCAUUUUAUAGUUCUACAUACUUAUCCCUAGCACAGAACGUCUAGAACUAGGACAUCUCAUGCAAGGUUGCUAUAAAUACUACAAAUAUCUGUCUACACUUAACAUGAGUCCUUAGACUAUAGAACGAGAUUGAACACAAUUAUAUCAUGAACGUCACAACAGGGAAUUGCAUAGUAUAUGAAUUCAGUUAUAUCUGUGACACAACUUCCACCACUACAGAUCUAUACUCACCUACGAGGCUUAGAAUAAAUCAUGGCAUUAGUUAGCAUGCAUUCUAACAUAGGUAUAUCAAACAACAACACAUACUUUCUAACCUAUGAGUUGACAAGAUCAGAUUGCUAAAAAUAUAAUGAACGAAACUUCAACAUGCUUUACUAGAAUUCUGAAUUUAUUAACAACAUAACAAUCGAAACAACACCCAAAUCCAAUAUUUGAAAACUGAAAACAUGUUUCUGCAAACUGUAAAGAAAAACUAAACAAAGCAGAGGUAUGGUUACACUUUUAUCAGUCUUCAAGAAGCUUGUAGACCUCUAGAAAGUGCUCCAGCUUCAAAGCUUCAAGGCUCCAAAGUUGUCGCUCUUGUGGAACGUCCAACAAGGCUUUGGCAAGGGAGGAAGAAACUUGAUAAAGGAGAGGGAGAGGCUACUCAGCAGAGCUAUGUGUUUCCCUCACUUUUGUGUGAAUGAAUGAUGAUCUGAGAAGUACCCAAAGCUGUCUUUAUAUAAAGGAAAUCUUGGUGGAACUUCUGGUCAAAAAUGAUGUGGGACUAGGUGCAUUUCCUUUUUAGAGUUAGAAUCCAAAUUGACUUCUUCCAAAAUGAUGUGGGACUAGGUGCACAUGUUUGAUUUUUCUUCUUCCUCUUUAGAUUUAGGCCUUCUUUUGGGUUUUCUGCAUUUUUCUCUUCCAUCCUUGGACUUCUUGGGCCUUCUUUUCUCGAUCAAUUAAGCUCUUUGUCCCUCUACAAUCACAAAACAUGUCAGAAAUGGUAUUAUUAAGGAAAUAACAUGGUCAAAUAGGGUAGGAAACACAUUAAAAACAUAGCACUUUGUGCUCAUAUCAAAUUCCCCCAAAAAAAUUUACCAUUUUUACUAGCUAAAAUUUAUUGACGGAGACGCUAAAAUUUACCAUUUUACCAUUUUUACCGUCGUCAAAUAUUUCUUCUUCAAAUAUUUCCACCGAAAUAAUCGUCCCUCGAAACCCCUCUCGGGACCAAACAAACUAUAAAUUCAUUGACGGAGACGGUAAAAUUUUUAUUAUAACCAAGCUAGUAAAUAAGGUAAAAAUUUACGGGUUGGGAUGUGACAAUUCUCCCCUCCUUAUAAAAAUUUCGUCCUCGAAAUUUACAUACAUGCCAUUCAAAGAGAUAGGGAUACUGCUGCCUCAUUUGCUUCUCUGAUUCCCAAGUAGCUUCCUCUACCUGAUGACUCCUCCACAGAACUUUAACACGAAGAAAAAGAUUUGCUUCUAAGCACUUGCUCCUUUUGGUCAAGAAUCUGAACCGGCCCUUUUCAUAGGUCAAAUCCUUCGUCAAACUAAUCGGCUGCCCUUGCAACACAUGAGAAGGAUCGGCAAUAUACUUGUGAAGCAUGGAUACAUGAAACAAAUUACGUAUCCUAGACAAAUCUGGAGGCAAAACUAACUGAUAAACAAGUGAGCCAACUUACUCUAUAAACUCAUAAGGACCUAUAAAUCUCGGACCAAGCUUUCCACGUUACCAAAACGCACUACCCUUUUCCAAAGGAGGUAGUUUUAAGAACACCCAAUCACCCACUUAAAACUCUAGGUCCUUCUUACGGACAACUGCAUAACACUACUGCCUACUUUGAGUUGCUUGAGUCUAACUCUGACUAUUUAAUCUUCCCAAAGACUAAAUCUUUCAUUGAACCACUAACAUCCACACGUAAGAGAUUUCAGCGAUACCUGCUCCAAAGUACUAGUACCUGCAGGUAUACACACUCCAUCCUGAGCAAAGGAAAUAGCUAACCCAAACAAAGCGCAUAAAUUUGCAAUCACCCUCGGGCUCAAAUCUGCUAAUGUCACACAAUAACCUCGUCAUUACGCUGCUUACAAACUCGACGAUGAAGCCUACUUGCUAGAAAACUAAAGUUCACGCAUUCCCACAUGCUCAUAGGGGUCAAAAUUAAGACACGCUAAUUGAACAAAUUUAAGGAUGCACACACUACAGAACUGCAACAAUCACUUCUAAUAUCAAGGCACUUUGCGGAGUCAAAGUUCUCGCAAGUCCAUAAGACAACCUUGCUCUACCUAAGUGAUCAAUUCACCACAGAAAUUAACCUCGAUUCUCAAAAUGACAUUAUGCAAAGAUCAAUACUACGUCACUUAGGUCUCUCCACCAAAACUAUUACAUUACCAUUUUGUGCACCACAAACUAGCAGCUUAUGGGAAUUCCAAUUCUCUCCUGAUUCUGCUAUCUCCAUUAUUCUCUUUAUCACAAACCAGAAGAUGACCUGAAGCCCGACUAUCUUGUGGAAACGAGAUAUUCCUCCUUACUUGCCAUACACAAAAUUGACUAAAAAUGCCCACGCUAAUUUAGCACAGCCAUUUCAGGUUGCUUGGCUUAACAUUAAGUAUCAUCUUCCUUAAGCAUUAGCAAAAUUUACAUCUCCAGCCAUGCUACUUAUUCGGGUGCAACUGCGACCCCAAAAGCAACAAUUAAAAUCACACGGCUCACUCUAGCCAUUCCACAAGAAUGAUCCAAAAUGCCAAAACCUUUGGACCUAACAAACACACUUCUUUUUCUACCUCUAAUAACAAUUAAUCAGAUAGCAGAAAACGAUCAGAAAUGCUCAAGUCUCCUACACUUCCCAGGCGCCACGGCUUCCCACCAAAGAGAUUCUCCGAUAACUAAGCUUGCAGCAACAAGUUAACCAUCGAAUAUAAAAAUUAAUUUCCAUAACAGGCCCACUACUACACUUUGUAGUUCGCUAACCAACGGAAAUCAUGAGUUAAAGUAAGAAUCAAGACUCAUGGCGAAUCUCAGUGCAAACUUGAGAGUAAAUAAUUUAAAAUUCAUGAAAGACAAGUUCCACAACUUCGAGCUCAAAAGCUCCACCAAUCACCGACGUCCACUAGAACUCGAUUUGAAAACGUACUAGAAACCAACAUUUAAUAGUGGUUUCAACUAAUCACCCUGACACCAACGGAUGAACACACCACCAAAAAGUGAAGACCUCCCAAAUCAAACUUGGAUCAAUAAGUGGUCCCACCACAAUACGAUCCCGAGAAGAGACGUCGUUCAACCUAUCCCCAAAUCUACUACCCUCAAUAUUAUAACUCUUAAUAAACCUUGACUCUAGACGUUUCUUGAGUCAACAGGGGAAAACCCUCUUCCAUAAUGCUACAUCAUGAAAUAUACCUAUCACAUAGGAUUUACGGCACCAAGAUUCAUCGCUUAAAUGAACUCCAGCUCACUUGGGAUCACCACUGGAUUUAUUCCGGAUCCAUGACUACGACACAACUACCAAUUUAUCAUUUACCUCGAAACUUCGACAAAAUAACCAGAAUCUCUAUCCUUCAAAUCGAAGAAUUUGGAAUUCGCACUCCAUAAUCAAGCUCUGAGGAUGCUACCCAAAAACCUACAGUAGGAAUAAUUUAAAUAUUCCCACACACACCACAACCAAAAACUUUGCUCCAUCUCACCGUAUUAGAAUUAAGGUGAGUGAACAUAUUCUCCCUUUGAUGUGCCGUAGCUAGUCACCAAUUGCUAACGAAGUGAUGUCAAUGAACCAACUUCGAUCACAAAUUCAAGACUUAUAUCAAGCACACGGAACGACAUUGCUUAAAAAAAAAUACUUUGGACACCCACGCACUCUUGCUCCAUGAUCCAGUGGGUUUUAUUCCACUGCUAUCACUUCCACCAGCUCCACACAACUAAUUUAGAAUACCUAUGAGAACACGUAUUAAAUUCACUAGGUGUUGUCGUAAAACUGGAACGACCACAACCAUCCCGCUCUCACUCCACCAUUACUUUUCAAUUCCAUUUACACUAUCAACUUCCCAAAUACUCAACAAAUCCGAAGAUCAAACUUCAACACACAAAAUUUCCGGAGGGAUCUAACAUGGCCCCACGACUAAAAAUACUAAAGCCGACAGAUGUCGCUCAACGCUUUAAAGCUUUCUCGAAGCUUGAAACGUUUAAUGACACCAUUCAAUUUCCAAUAAUUUCCUGGCCGCGACACAACAUCAAGUUUGCCAUAAUGCCAUAUCCAAAGAUUUUUAUAAAGCUAACAACCCAAGGAAAAAAAAAAUAAUCUUAGGCAUUAUACUUAAAGCUUUAACCAACUUUAGCUAAUCCGCAAUGUGGAGACCAAGUCAUCAGAAAUAUUGAUAUUCCUCAACUACUACUCCAAAAUGUUCCAACUACACUCUUUAAUAGGAUGAUUCCAAGGACAAAAACAUAUCCUUAAUUAGAGUUGUAAGGGUCAAAUCAUAUGCUGCCAUAACAAGCAUUAACCAAAAUAAUCUCAACUGACUUUCGCUGCGGACAAGCAGUUGGAAAUUUGGUCAUCAAUCAAGACUUCUCUGAAUUGAUAGCUUUUUAUGCAACCAAACUAUAGCCACAAAUCCCCCGUGACUAAUUAGCUCAAGCUUAGGAUCCGCAACAACUCAGGAAUGCACCCCUGAGAAUUUCUAUGGGUAACUCACCAUAUCCCUUCAACUAACUUUAACAACAAAAGAAUACCCUACUAGUUUGAACUUUCUUUUCAGCUAUUUUCUCUCAGAAGUCAUGAAACUCGAAACCACAAUUUUCCAUCGGACCACUAAAACUUCACACUUGCCCACUAUGAUUAGUGAACUCCAAGGCUUCAAUUAAAAUUUUCACCUUCUACAAAUUCGCACAAGAUGGUCACCCUAACAUCUUAAUCAAAACUCGAUCAAUCAAUGAUCAAAUGAAAGGAAUGCUGCCAUGCAAAUGAGUUCCCAACUGGAGUUCUCAACUCGCAAUUGAACUCUUACAAUUUAUGAUAUCAACUCAAUAACCCUUGGAAGAGGCAUAACCCCAACACCUCUUUCCUUAAUCAAAGUAGAAUGAUCACUUAAGAGGUCGGCGUACGGAGGCAUAGUCUUAAAGAUAUAGACAUUUAUGGCACACUACUGUCCAUAAAUAAAAUAAGAACGACUACAUCACAAACUUAAUCAACACAGUGUCUAAAGCAUAAAAUGCUAAUAGAUCCGCCGCGGUCGGACCAUCACUAUAUAGACACUAAGUAUGACAAAGAAUAUGAGGUAGUACUAAAAAGAGAAAGGAAUCGAAUAACCUAAUGCUCUGAUACCAACUGUCAAGACCCACCCCGAAUUUCACCUUGAAACCCGAAGUAAAUCCUGUAGGGACCACCUCUAAGGAAAGUUUACCAAAAAAUAGGUAUAACAUCCCUUGAAAAUGGACAACCCUUCCUAAUAAUACAUGCAUACACUUCAAAAGAAUCCAUAUAGAACUCUCUACUCCUGGAGCCUUCAUGCUCCCCAACACAACAUCUCCCAAAUUAUUUAAAUAUCUACACAAAUCUCAUAUCCAACCAUUUAUAGGUUCAGAGCAACUCUAAUAGGAAGAAAGGAAACAUAAUAAAUUAACAAGCGGAAGCUAUAUGAUGACUAUGCCUCAUCUCCAUGUAUGCCCGACCUCAACUAUGCUAACCUGCAAGCUGGGCAUUUUUAAAACGAAGGGUCCAGGGGAAAACAUUUGAAACCGUUAGAGUGAGUGGACAAAAUAAAUUUAAUGAAAUAAAUCUUUAUGCUUUCCCGAUUUAACUUCUGUGGAAAAACAAUUAACGGCAUGCAACAAGCUCAAAAGCUUUUAAAAAAUUACCGAAUUUACCGAAAUGUGACUAGCCGCGCUAGUCACCAACACUUCAUAAAAAUAGAGCCUCUCAGGCUAAAAUAAAAUAUGUAUGUAUUACACUCGUCAUAUCCCUUGUAUGAAUUUUCUUGAAACAACAAAGACAAAUAGAAAAUUCACACAAGGCUACAACACUUGCGUCUAACGCUCACGUCGCAUCAUAAUGGCAUUUUACCUCAUUAUGGUGAAAAAGACGGUGUAUAUAUAUAUAUAUACGCGCAUAUCCCUUAUAUAAAUUCUUAUAUUUAUAUAGGGCUACGACGAUUGCGUCUAACGCUCACGUCGCACCAUAAUGGAAUUUUACCUCAGUAUGGUGGAAAAGCACGUAUUGCUAGCUAGCAUUUCUUUAUAUACAUAUUGUUCUCAUAAACAUCCAUAUACAUAUCCACCGAAAAUCUCAUUUUCGGUAACUCUCCAAAAGUAAUGAAAAUUGUCAAUUAUCAUAAAAAGCAAUAUGCACACGACUCCACCGAAAAUCUCAUUUUCGGUAACUUUCCAAAUAAUACGAUAGCCAUUAAAAAUGAGAACAUUUACUUCUGAAAAUGACCUCGCGAAAAUAAACUAUUCCACAAAUUGAUAUUCAAUAAAAUCAAUCAUUUAAUAUAGAAUCACCGCAUGCAUAUAUUUUAAAAUAAAAGUCCACUCACAACUUUAGGCCUAAGCCUGACGUCGAUUCGAGGUCUCUUCUGCUUGAGCCUCCUCACGUCCUGUUUCCAAAUGUAAAAUUAAUUUCCCAACUAAAAAUCCAAGUAUUAUACAAAAUAGGCAAAAUUAAACGAGAGCCAUAACCACGCUCAUCAUUGCCUAACUUCGAUAUUCCUAAAUCGAAACGAUCCAACUUUAAUACCAUAAUCGGCAGCCGUAAUUACAACCUCCCCCAGAAUAACGACUUAAAUCCUACGGCCGGAUUCCACACUAAUUAACUGUCAAAAAUACCAAACUUCGGAAAUUCACAAACCUAUCCAAAACUCAUCCAAAAAUUUCAUAAUUUACAUCAAUAAACUCCCUUUAAUAUUCCACAUUUAAAACCAUAAAUAUCUCCCAAACAGCGGCGGUGGCCGGAGGCCGGCUUCGGCGACCUCCAAUACCUAUGAAAUUUUGACAGCAUCUUCCUCUCAACCCCCUCUACAACUUUCCUAACUAGCACAAACAUCAAUUCCAAGCCUAACUAGGACAAUCGAACAUAAACAUCACAAAAAGCCCUAGAACUUCCACUUACCGGUUCUCCUCACCUGAAGCAAACUAAACUGAGUCCUUCUAGGGCAAGGCAACUGGGUUGGAGACCUUCAAAACCAUAUAAGGCUUGCCCGGAUUGGUGGCCGGAGGAGGGAGCUCAGGCGACGGAGAGCUUUGGGCAGUUGGGACUUUCGGGCGGCAAUUCUCCCUCACGGCAGCGCUAGGGGAGCUCUCACCGGUCUAGGAUGGGAGCUGGGUAGGAGGCCGAUCGAUCGGGAUCGGAGCGGCGGCGAACGGUGGCCGGACGGCGGCUGCCUGGCGACUGAAAGUCCGGCAGCGAGAGGGGGCUCGGGGAGCGGAAGAGAAGAGAGAGAGAGAGAGAGAGAGAGAGAGAGAGAGAGAGAGAGAGAGUGUGUGUCUACNNNNNNNNNNNNNNNNNNNNAGAGAGUGUGGGCUUUGUCCCCAAAAAAAUGGCCCGGUCCACACUUAAAACACCCCACUCCAUAACCUAAAACACCCAAAAAAAAUACCCUAAUAAAAAUUACCUUUUACUAGCUAAAAUUUACCAUUUUUACCGUCGUCAAAUAUUUCUUCUUCAAAUAUUUCCACCGAAAUAAUCGUCCCUCGAAACCCCUCUAGGGACCAAAUAAACUAUAAAUUCAUUGACGGAGACGUAAAAUUCUUAUUAUAACCAAGCUAGUAAAUAAGGUAAAAAUUUACUGGUUGGGAUGUAACACCUUAUAUGGUUUUGAAGGUCUUCAACCCAGUUGCCUUGCCCUAGAAGGACUCGGUCUAGUUUGCUUCAGGUGAGAAGAACCGGUGAGUGGAAGUUAUAGGGUUGUUUUUUGUAUUUUUUUCGUUCGAUUGGCAUAGUUAGGCUUGGAAUUGGUGUUUGUGCUAGUUAGGAAAGUUGUAGAAGGAGUUGAGAGGAAGAUGCUGUCAAAAUUUGGUAGGCAUUGGAGGUCACCGGAGUCGGCCUCCGGCCGCCGCUGUUUAGGGGAUUUUUAGGGUUUUAUUUGUGUUAUAAUUAGAGGAGUUUAAUGAAGUGAUUCGUGGAAUUUUUGGAAGAGUUUUGGAUAGGUUUGGGAAUUUUUAAAGUUUGGUAAUUUUGGCGCUUAUUUAACGUAGAAUUCGGCCGUUGGAUUAAAGUCGUAUAAUCUGUAGAGGGUUAUAUUAGAGCUGCCGAUAAUUGUGGUGAAGUUUGGCCAUUUCGUUUUUAAGAAUGGAGAAGUUCGGCAAGGAUGAGCGUGGUUACGACUCAUAUUUAAUUUUGCCUAUUUUGUUUAAAUAUUGACAUUUGAGUUGAGAAUUUAUUAUUAUAUUCAGAACAGGACGUGAGGAGGCUCGAGCGGAAGAGGCCUCGGAUCGACAUCAGGCUUAGGCCUAAUUUGUGAGUGUACUUUUGUUUUAAAUAAUAUGCAUGCUAUGGUUCAUGAAUGAACAAUAAAUUUGGUUGGAGCAUUUGAUGUCAUUUUAAUUUUGACGAUUUUAUUUCUUUUGGAGAGUUACAGAAAAUGGGAUUUUUCGGUGAAUAUAAAUAUAUAUUUAUGAGGAGAGUAUGUAUAUAAAUGCUAGCUAGCCAUAUGUCUGUCCACCUUAAUGGCGUAGUAUAUAGCCGCAUUACGGUGUGACGUGAGCGUUGGACGCAAGCGUAGUAGCCUUAUAUAAAUCCAUAAGAUUAUAUAGGGAGUAUGGACAUGUGUAAAUACAUACAUAUAUAUUUUAGAGCUUGAGAAGCUCGAUAUUUAUGAGAUGAAAGUUUUAUCACUUGAGGCAUGCAUUCGAUUUUUCCUUGGAAAUUGAAUUGGGAAAACAUAAAUAUUUUUAUUUAUUCUUUUAUUUAAAUUUAUUUUUGUCCACUCACUCUAACGGUUUCGAAUGUUUUCCCCUAGGCUCUUCGUUUUAAAAAUGCCCAGUUUGCAGGAUUGCAUAGUUAAGGUCGGGAGUACAUGGAGAAGAGGCAUAGUCAAUAGUAUAGCUUCUGCUCAUUUUUAUAUUUAUAGUUCUUUUCCUCUCAAAUAGAGUUUCUCUGAGCUGUGGUUGUUGGUUGUGAGAUUUUCUUUUUAAAGUUAGUACAUAAAUUGGAAGGUGUUGUGAUUUGGGGGAGUACAAGGGCUCCAGGAGUUUAAGGUUGGAUUUGGAUUUUCAGAAGUGUAUGCAGGUAUUAUUAGGAAAGGUUGUCUAUUUUCAAAGGAGGUUAUGCCGAAUUUUCGGUAAACUUUCCUUGGAGAUCGUCCCUGCAGGAUUUACUUCGGGUUUCAGGGUGAAAUUCGGGGUGGGUCUUGACAAUUAAAGCUUACCGGGUUUGUUGCUUACAACCCGGUGCACCAAUCCAUGGUGUAGAGGUUGAAUUUGCAGGUGAGGAUUUCCAAGAUUGAGACGUAGGGAUCUAGAAGUUGCUUGUUAGUAGUUGGAUAUCUUUAUUUGGAUUGUAAAAUUGUAGUGAGCUCUUUAGAGUGUGACCUUUACUUGACUUUUUAAGUUAUGUAAACGUUCGAUUGUAUUAUUUGAUCUUUUUAUUUUUGUUAUCAUGCCUUGAAUUUGGAAUUUUUAUUUAUCCAAAAUUCGGGGUGUGACAGUUUGGUAUCAGAGCCUAGGGUUGCAUAUUUGGUGGUAAUCAGUAUCUUUGAGUGAUGGCCCGACUGCAACGGAUCCCCAUCAAACUCUUUGGUACUGAUAUGUCAUUAGGUAUGCGGGUGGCAAGGAUGUUGUCUUAAGCGUUAGGUUUCUAGAGCAUAGGUUUGCUCUGUAAGCAAGGAGUGCAAGUGUGGGUAGCAUUUCUUGAGGAUUAGUCGUUUGAGGAAUAAGAAUCAUUAGAUUGACUUCUUUUCAGCUGCCUGUGGUAAGCUGGAGGAUUUGUGAUUGGUGAGCAAAGUUUAGGAGUGAAAGGUACUUUGUUCUCUUUUCUUCUUCAUGAGAGUGAGCUGUGAUUUUUGGUGUGUCUUUUCUGUGAUGUUGUGGUGGUGUGGUGUUUUGAUUAAGUUAUGCAGUUAAGGUCUUGUGUUUGACUUCUGCUGUAGAUGUGAUGCAAUUGUAUUAUGUGGCUCAUACAUCAUUCUUUGUUGUGGUGGUAGAGAUUCUCUACCAUGCGAUUUUAUGUGUGAUCUGAUGUCAUGAUCUUUGUGACUUAUUCGGGGUUAACAUUUAGCUUGGUGGUGGUGUUCUAAGUGGUUGAACACUAUUUGAGUUAUGCCCCAUGUGUUAUUGACUCUUGAAAGAUUUAUGUGUAGUCAUUGUUUUUUGUUAUACUGUUAUAGUAGCAGGAUAGUUGUGUGUGCGCAGAAAUGCUAUAUUUAUGUAAUGUAGUUGAUGCCCCGAGUUGGAGGGCGUUAUUGUUGUUAUGUUAAGUGGUGCACUUGUGCUGAAUCAUUGAUCUUGGCGCAUGUUGACCUUCGAGGUCUUAAGGCCAUGCAGAGUGCAAUGAGUCUAAUUUAAGACGCGAAUUUGUUGUCCGUAGCUUGAUAGACCGGCUGGACAAUGGGGUGGGGGAAAUGGUCAAUAUGUGGUGAGCCAUGUUUAACUUCUAGGUGAGCAUUUGUUAUGCAUCGUAGGAUGUUGUUACAUCUUUGUUAUGCUGGUGGAAAUUCUAUGUCAUUUUUUUUCUUGCAUAAUCUCAUGUUAUUUAGAUAUAUAUAUAUACAUUUUUUUAUUUAUUUUAUUUUAUUUUAUUUUAUGUGAAUCGGUUGAGAUUUGGCUUGAAUGGAAUUGUGUUAUGAAAUGGUAGAGCAGUUAUUGAGUAGUGAUGCGUGCCAUUCCUGUAUGAAUGAGUUUUUGUGUGGAUCUGAUGACUUCGUGAUUUAUGGACUUGUAGCAGUGUUGAUUUCUGUUGUGUGCCAAGGUUCUUUUGAAAGCUCGUAGUGUCAUAGUGAGUUGACAAUGAUGCGAUGCAGAUAUUGUUUUAGGCUGAGUUCACAUUCUUGUGUAGUUUGUGUGUGUUGUUUUGGUUAGCAACGUAGUGGUAGUGAAAUAUGCAGGGACGAGUUUUGCGAACCGUUCAGUUACCACCAAGUGGGGUGGUAGGGUGAGUUCAUGUCUGGCUUUAGGUGACCAAGACAAUGAAAGCGAUGUGGUUACAUUCGUUGUUGAUGUUCAACUUGAUUUUCUAUGAAGUUGUAGGACAAAAUUAUUGAGGAAACUCGAUAUGCUUGUGGAGGCUUCAAGACGAGAGAGAUUGUUUGGUAGUAUGAACCUAUUUAGCAGCACUUGGGUGGAGUAGUGCGUUUAAAUUUCGGGGACGAAAUUUCAUUAAGGGGGUAGAAUGUAAUACCCCGGAAAUUUGAUGUUAGUUUCUCAUAUUAUUUGGGAAUUUUUGAGUUAGAAGUUAGUGUGUUUUUGAGGUUCGAAGGAAGGCUGGAAGUGUUUGAGCAUUUAAUUUCUUGAAAAUGCUUUAUUCUGAAGUGUGUGCAUUCGUUGUGGAAUGAUGCCUUAGUGGUGAUUGUGUGUAUUCAUUGUGGAAUUGUGCCUUAGUGGUGAUUGUGUGCAUUAGUUGUGGAUGUGUGUCUUACUGGUGAUUGUGUGCAUUCGUUGUGGAAUGGUGCUUUAUUGGUGAUUGUGUGCAUUAGUUUAGGAGCCUUCGUGGUGGACUAGGAACCAAGCUUUGGCUGGGUGAUUGGUUACGGUUAGUAUAGAGCUCUAGUCUGUCUGUCGGUACUUCAUGGGGAUGACUAAGUGUUGACGAACCCAUGAGUACACGUUUGUUUGGUUACUUAUGGGAGAUAACUAAGUGUUGACGAACUCAUAAGUAAGAGUAGAGAAAUGAUUAUGUGAUGUUCUUAUGUGUUGUCAUUUAAAUUUCUUGUUUUGAGUAUCUCCUUAACUAUGCUUAAUGCAGGAGAUCCUUAAUCUUAAUUGUAUGAUUUUUAGUGGAAGUCCUGAACUAUGUUUUUUGCAGGAUUUCAUUAUGACCUUUACUUGACUUCUAAAGUUAUGUAAACGUCAGAUUGUAUUAUUUGAUCUUUUUAUUUUUGCUAUCAUGCUUUGAAUUUGAAAUUUUUAUUUAUCCAAAAUUCGGGGUGUGACAUUGCUGGAUUCUGGUAAUUUGCUUUCUCAUCACCGUGAUCUUUGACGCUGGAAUGUACUUGGUCAGGAAUUCACUCAUCAUCUUUUCCCAUGAGUCAAUAUGUCCGGCAGGUAGAUCAAUAAGCCAUGACUUGGCCCGGUCCUCCAGUGAGAAUGGAAAUGCCUUCAACUUUAGAAGUUCAGAAUAUUAAUAUCUGCAUUUGUAGGGCACAUGCUCACACACACAAAUUGAAAAGCCUUCAGAUGCUUUUUGGGGUCUUCAUUGCUUAGCCCAUGGAAUUUUGGGAUUUGAUGUAGAAACCCACUUUCAACUCGAAUUCUCCUUCCUUAGUGAGUGCCGGUUCAGGAUAAGUGAUACAUAAAGGUGCAUUACCUCCGGCUCCUGGUACAACUGAAUUAGAUAAUUGUCUAAUAGUCUGCUGUUCCAUUUGUGGAAUGUCUUCCUCAGGAUCUGAAGGUUGUGAUGAGACUGUAGACCUUGUUUGUACUUCUUCCUCUUCUUCCGACUCUGCGCCACUUUGAAUAUUUUGAAUAUCAAGAAUCUGGCCGGGAAGGUUCUCCUCCUUCCUUGAUGCGCUCUAAUCGCUGCUUCAAGUUUGUUAAAAACUCGUUGGUUAAUCCAGGAAGACGAAUUCCCUCAUCGAACAUUCAUAACCCUACAGAAACGAAAGAACAAAAUAAGAAACAGAAAUAAAAAAAUUAAACAUAAACAUAGUAACUAAAAUUUUAGAAUGAGCUCAAACACAAAAGGCCUUAGAAAUAAGUGAACACUUUACAUUUUACAAGGGUUCUAAAUUACAACAAUCUGUUAAACAGUUAUAAGUUGUAUUAAUUUUCAAGCUCAAAUCUUAAAUGGUAAACCAUUUGUAAUACCCCGGAAAUUUAAUAUUAGUUUCUAAUAUUAUUGGGAGUUUUUGAGUUAGAAGUUAGUGUGUUUUUGAGGUUUGAAGAAAGAGCGGAAGUGUUCGGACGCGUAUUUUUACCCGAAAGGGUUUUAUGAUUUAUUUUGAAGGGUCAAGAGUUGACUUUUUAAUCUGUUGGGUUUCUCGGAAAACUUCCUUCACGGAAGUUGUAGAGCAUGACGAUACGAGUUCGUAGACACGUGGCACGCGUAAAACGGACUUCGUAUGUGGAAGUUCUGGUCAGCAGAAGUUCGUGGUUUUCAGGAUUUUUUAGUAUAACUAUGAAAAAGUUAUAGGGUUCCCUCAGUUUUUGUCCCAUACCACUCUCUCCUUUUUUUUCUUCUCUCCCGCCUCACCUUCAGUAUCCAAGUUUCCCAGCCGACCCGACCCGGACCCGGUUGACCCGACCCGGAUUUUCUGGCCAUCUCCGGUCGACCCAGACGACGGCACCGGUCGAAAAAUCUUCCUCUCCUUGGCGUGCUCUUCCCUGUGUAGGUGGGUGAAGACGACUCAAGCGGGUUUGAGAGAAUCGAACGCUGCAGUGGAGGGUGGCGGAGCCGACUUUGACUCGAGGGCGUUCCGGCCGUGUACGGCGGCGACGGGAGGUGAGGCUACCCAUUUCGUGAAGCUUUCUUCCUUCCUAGCAUGUUUGAACCACCCUUGCAACUCAUUUCUGGGUUUUUGAACCCCAAAUUGCAGAGUGAAGAUCGGAGCUUGCGGCGGCUGUUUCGGGCGGUUUAAGGCCGAGUUGGACUUAGGCUCAAGUAAGAAAAGUGCUUUAUUUGUAGUGAUCUUCAAGUUUGUAGUUGGGUGUUUGGCCAAAUUGUGAAGUUGUAGGGUGGCGCGUGGGGCCCACUCGUCGCCGCCGGUGGUGGCGCGUGGCUGCGCGUUGGGCAGGGUGUUUAGGUUUAGUUGCUUUGGUUAGCUAGUUCUUGUUGUUGUGAGCUUGUUGGUAUAUUAUGAGAUUAGGUUAAGUUUGAAUAAGUUUUGUUUGUUAAAUUCUUUGUUAUUGUAGACUUGUGCGAAGUGUUGAGCUAGGAGAAUCCAAAGUUAGGCAGUGGGGGAUUAGGGUUAAGUGUUCGACGACCUUGGGGGGUCUCGGAGGAAGGUUGUCCUUUUUGGGCAAAGCUUGAGUUAAGGCAUGUUAAGGGUGUAAUAUUCUUUUAUUAAGUUGUUAUUAAAGUUAUUAAUUUUUGUUAAUAGGUGACUUGUGGAGUGUGGUUUGGUGUUAUAUUCUUGUGUAGUGCGUGCGAAGACGCAGCUGGAUUUUAGGUGAGUAACAUCUCACCAAGGUCCACUUUCGGACCAAUUAUUUAUAAUUAUUAUGAUGAUGAUUGUGAUGUUGUUUUUGAGGAUGAUGAUGAUGAUAAUUAUUAUGAUGACGAUGAUGAUUGUUUUGAUUGAUGAUUAUGAUGCUAUUUUUAUAUUGUGAGUAAAUCUCACAUGGGUUCUUAAGGAACCGAAUUUACUUUAUAAUUUUGUUUUAUUAAUUGUGAAAUUGUCCUUGAAGGAAAAUGACUUUGUUUUUAAAAAUAAAUGAUCUUGAUCGUCAACGGCUCAUGGUAAGUGAAAACAAGUUUUAUGUUAAAAAUAAAUCUUUCAAAAGGACUUUCGAUCAUGUGAUAUGGUGAUGUUGAAAUAUGGUUGUUGAUAGAUUAUUCUAGUGGGAAUAUCUAUGUCUUUGUUUAUAUAAAUAUAUCUAGGUGGAAAGAUAUAAUUUAUGAAGUGAUCUUGUGAUGUUGUUGAUGAUAUUUUUAUAUUUGAAUUGUUGUUUAAAUAGUCAAACCGGGUUCCUAGCCUCUAAUCGGGUGAUAGGUUACGGUUAUGAUUAUAUUAUUAUUUUGUGAUUUGAUAAGUGUUAUGAUGGGAGAGUAUUGAAAUGUGUGCCUUAGUGGUGAUUGUGUGCAUUAGUUGUGUAUGUGUGUGCCUUAGUGGUGAUUAUUAGAUUAGGAGCCUUCGUGGUGGACCGGGAACCAAGCCUUGGCCUGGUGAUUGGUUACGGUCAGUAUAGAGCUCUAGUCUGUCAGUCGGUACUUCAUGGGGGAUGACUAAGUGUUGACGAACCCAUGAGUACGCAUUUGUUUGGUUACUUAUGGGGGAUGACUAAGUGUUGGCGAACUCAUAAGUAGGAGUAGAGAAAUGUUUGUAUGAUGUUCUUAUAUGUUGUUUAAAUUUCAUGCUUUGAAUAUCUCCUGAACUAUGCUUAUCCGCAGGAGAUUCUUAAAUCUUAAUUGUGUGAUUUUAAUAGAAUUCUUGAACUAUGUUUAUUUAUAGGAUUCAUUUAUGAUUUUGAGUGAUUUUAAAUUAUUGUGUUUUUUUUUUAAUUGUUUCUUUUGAAUUCUCUUGCUUUUAGGCGAUUCCUGAACUAAGUUGCUAAUGCAGGAAUUACCAGUUUUACUUAUAUGUGAUGUUGGGAUUGUUGGGUUAUUAUUUUGGGAGUUACUCGUACGAGCUUUUUAGCUUACCGGGUUUGUUGUUUACAACCCUGUGCACCAAUUCAUGGUUAGGGGUUAAACCUGCAGGUGAUGAUCAGAAGGUUUGAGGCAGUGGCCUAGGAGCUGGAUUUUGACAAAAUACAUUUAUUUGUAUUUUAUGGUAGUUGUAUUUAAGCUCUUGUGAGCGAAGUAGUUUAUUACUAGACUUUUGGAAGUUGUUGUAAUUAAGGAGAUUAAAUGUUGAACUCGGUUGAUGAGUUUAUCGACAUUUACAUUUCCAGUAUUUGUUUUUAGUUUUUGAAAUUGUUGAGCAGGUUAUGGGAUAUUUAGAAUUUGAGUUUUAUCAUGCCCAAAUUUUUGAAAUUUAUCCUUCGAAAAUUGGGGUGUGACACCAUUGGUAAAUAGGUAUGAACGUCUUGAUACAAUUGUUUCCGUGGUUUCAGAAGACUUGAUGGUCAAGCCGAAGUGAAACGGGCUGGUAGGACUUCGUUUGUAAUGGGCUACGGAGGUCGAAACCUCUAUCAUGCUUACGCAUAGUCUCUAACCCUUUGAAAUCCAAUUUUGGUCCCAGGCGCUUACUCAGGCCUAGAUAUCACCCAAAAUGUCUCUUACAUAGCUAAGAAACACAUGUAUGGUUGACAGUCAUACAAGAGUUAAUAAGGUUCGCCCUCAACUCCAAAAGACCUUUGAUAAGGUACUAAUGAAGCAUUUAGGAUCAUAUUAACUAAAGUAACCUCCAAUGAUUUACAACACAAGAUAAGUACUUGAAAAUAAAUAAAACAAUCAACAAUUAGUCAGAUUUGUUAAAGUAGUAUAAUUAUUUACAAAUAAAAGUAACCGAAAAACAGUUAGCGAAUUAUCAAGUCCCCUGCAACGGCGCCAAAAAUUGACGUGCUCGUUUCCGAGCGUUCAAUUUAAAAACCCUUUUUUUAUCAGAAUGUAGUAUUGGCAAAUAGGGUUCGAUCAAUCCGGAGACUUAAAAGGCACUUAUGCAGUCACAGUUACACUAAAGAGUCUGUAACUAUAAGUAUUUAUAAGCAUUCAUUUACAAAUAUACAUAUGGUACAAGGUAAACAGGGGGGGGGGGGUUUGAGAGUUUGUUCUACGUUCCUAAAAACAGAAAAUAAGAUAUGUACAAGUGAUCGAUUCAUUCCACACAUCAUUCAGAGAGAAACUCAGAUUUUGACCACACAUCAAAGUUCAGGUUUCAACCUUAGCAAUCUGAUAACAUGCCAAUUCAGAGAACUAUAAACAAUCUCAAAACACAAGCCUACUAGGUCAUGCAUUUUAUAGUUCUACUUACUUAUCCCUAGCACAGAACGUCUAGAACUAGGACAUUUCAUGCAAGGUUGCUAUUAAUACUACAAGUAUCUGUCUACACUUAAUAUGAGUCCUUAGAAUCUAUAGAACGAGAUUGAACACAAUUAUAUCAUGAACGUUACAACAGGGAAUUGCAUAGUAUAUGAAUUCACUUAUAUCUGUGACACAGCUUCCACUACUACAGAUCUAUACUUACCUACGAGGCUUAGCAUAAAUCAUGGCAUUAGUUAGCAUGCAUUCUAACAUAGGUAUAUCAAACAACAACACAUACUUUCUAAUCUAUGAGUUGACAAGAUCAGAUUGCUAAAAAUAUCAUGAACGAAACUUCAACAUGCUUUAUUAGAAUUCUGAAUUAUUAACAACAUAACAAUCGAAACAACAUCCAAAUCCAAUAUUUGAAAACUGAAAACAUGUUUUUGCAAACUGUAAAGAAAAACUAAACAAAGCAGAUGUAUGGUUACACUUUUAUCAGUCUUCAAGAAGCUUGUAGACCUCUAGAAAGUGCUCCAGCUUCAAAGCUUCAAGGCUCCAAAGUUGCCGCUCUUGUGGAACGUCCAACAAAGCUUUGGCAAGGGAGGAAGAAACUUUAUAAAGGAGAGGGAGAUCGAGGCUGCUCAAUAGAGCUAUGUGUUUCCCUCACUUUUGUGUGAAUGAAUGAUGAUCUGAGAAGUACCCAAGGCUAUCUUUAUAUAGAGGAAAUCUUGGUGGAACUUCUCUUCAAAAAUGAUGUGGGACUAGGUGCACUUCCUUUUUAGAGUUGGAAUCCAAAUUGACUUCUUCUUCCAAAAUGAUGUGGGAGUAGGUGCACAUGUUUGACUUUUCUUCUUCCUCUUUGGACUUGGGCCUUCUUUUGGGCUUUCUGCAUUUUUCUCUUCCAUCCUUGUACUUCUUGGGCCUUUUUUUCUCAAUUAAGCUCUUUGUCCCUCUACAAUCACAAAACAUGUCAAAAAUGGUAUUAUUAAGGAAAUAACAUGGCCAAAUAGGGUAGGAAUCACAUUAAAAACAUAGCACUUUUUGCUCAUAUCAGUGAUUAUGAUGGUUAUUUUGAUGAUGAUUUUGAUGAUGAUGAUGAUGAUGAUUUAAAGAUUUUGUUUUUGUUUGUUUUAAAAUAUAUGAGCUUGAUCGCCAACAGCUCAUAGGUAAGAUAAAACAAGUUUUCCUAUUUUAUUAUUAUAUUGUGAUUCGUUGUUUAGAUAGUCAAACUGGGUUCCAAGCCUUUAAUCGGGUGAUAGGUUACGGUUAUGAUGAUUAUACUCUAUGGUGAUUGUUGUGUAGAUAGUCAAACUGGGUUUCAAGCCUUUAAUCGAGUGAUUGGUUACGGUUAUGAUGCUAUUAUUAUUUUGUGAUGUGAUAUUAGACAGUCAAACUUGGUUCCAAGCCUUUGGCCGGGUGAUUGGUUAUGGUUAGGAAUAGAGCUCUAGUCCGUCUGUCGGUGUAGGUCAUGGGAGGUACCUUAAGGUAUCUGGGACCCAUGGGUAUAUAAAUUGUUGUUGUAGGUCAUGAGAAAUAUUUAUUAAUAUCUGGGACUCAUGGGUACAUGUGUUUGUUGUAGGUCAUGGGAGAUACCUUAUUGGUAUCUGGGAUUCAUGGGUACAUGUAUAUUUGUAAAAGUAUUGGUUAUGUGGUUUUAACAUUGUUCUUAAUGGUUGUCAUUUAAAUUCAUUGUUUUGAGUAUCUCCUGAACUAUGCUUUAUGCAUCAGAUUCUUUAAUCUUAUUUGUGUGAUUUUUAGUGGAAUUCCUGAACUACCCUUUUUGCAGGAUUCACUUAUGAUUUUGAUUGUUUUGUGAAUUGUUAUGUUUUCUUAUUUACUCUCUUUUGAAUUUCUUGUUAGAGGUGAUUCUUGAACUAAGUUCUAAAGCAGGAAUUACUGGUUUUAUCUUAUGUGAUGUUGGGUUGAGUUAUUUUGGGAGUUACUCAUAUGGGCUUUUUAGCUUACCGGGUUUGUUGUUUACAACUCAGUGCACCAAUUCAUGGUGUAGGGGUUAAACCUACAGGUGAUGAUCAACAAGGUUGAGGCAGAAGCAUAGUGGCUGGGUUUUAGGCAGUUUGUUCUUAAGCUCAUGUGAGCGUCUUCAUUUUUACUAGACUUUUCAAUUUGUUGUAAACAAGGAGAUGUAAUGUUUAACUCAGUUGUUGACUUUUGUUGACAUUUACAUUUCCAGCAUUUGAGUCUAAUUUGGGAGUUAUUGAGCAGGUUUUAGGAGUGAUAUUUUGAGAUAUAUCAUGCCCAAAUUUUUGAAAAUUAUCCUUCAAAAAUUGGGUGUGACAAAACACCAACACAAUGAGACAACUGAAACUUGGUCAAUUAUAUUCCGGUUCAUGAGACACAAUUGAUAGACUAAAAUCAUCAAUUAAGAUGUAUCCAUUUUAUUUACCUCAAUUGUUGUUGUUUCUAGUUGUUAUGUUUUCUUUAAGUUUGAAGUUAUGAAUAAAAAAAUUAUUGUUUUUUAUUAUGAGAACCAUUCAACUACGCAAUCACUCGACAUAAAAACUUUUAACUUUUAUUGAAUAACAAAAACAAUAGCACACUACACAACAAUUCAAAGUGUUUCUGCAAGAACCCGUAGGCUAGGCAAGAACAUGAUUAAACAAGAACACAUACAAGAACACAACAUUUAUAGUGAUUCACCAUACCAUCAGAGGGCAUGACUACGUCCACUUGAAUCUACUAUCAUGAGGCCUCAAUGCCUUUGGUGUUACAAGUGUGGAGUAGUGAAGUUGGGAUGGAGUUGGAUGGAAUGAGAGAUGGGAUGAUGAGCUAUCCUUUCUACACAUAGGAAGCCUUCCUUUUGUAGCUAAGGAAGGUUCCCUCACAUAUUAUAUUUCCAAUGUGGGACUAAUUACACAUAUCACUUAUCAUGGUGUCUUCUUGUGAAGCUUGGAGAAGCACAUUCCCGUUGUCGCAUUGAUGAUCAUUCACCAUGGCGAGGUAGCCCGACGGAUGUAUGUCAGAGGCGGGGCCCGCCAUGGCCGGAGCACGGUCUACGAGGUCAUUGCUUAUGCUUGGUGGUAUAAGAUAUACAUCGUAUCUACAAGUCCCCCAAGUUCCCGAGUAAGAGGACCGAUUACUUAGGAAGUUGCCAAGAAUAACGCCAAGUGUAAGUGACGUCCGAGUGACGUCAUACCUACUAGUCCCCAACUUCUCAAGUAAGAAGGGACUCGUCUCGGGUACCACAUUUCUCAUACGUGAAAUAGUUGUUGGGUUCGAGAGUGAUAAGGCUUGCCAAGUCCCCCAAAUGUUCGUCGAGUGUUAAUUACUUCCAUUUUUGGUACACAAGCGAUUCCUCCGUAUUUGAUACUCGAGUGUUACUGAUGAAUUAUGAUACUUGGGUCUCAUUACUCUUUGUUAUUUGGGUCUUACUCGUUCAAUAUGCUUCUCGGGUCUCACCCAUUGGCAUUCUCUACUUUUGAUGCAUUAGUCUUGCUCCUUUUUAUACAUGGGUGUUAUUCGGGUGUUGUCUUUUUUUUUCUACACAUUAAAUCUUACUCCCGAUGUUACCUUUUCUAGCUAACGUGGGAUCUUAUUCCUAGUCUUACUUUUUCUUGAUAUACAUCGUAAUCUUUAAGUUCGCCAAUAAGACAAAAAAAAAUAUCCCUCCCCACCCCCGGCCUCAAAAUUCUUCGGCCGAGCGAGGUGUUUUCAUGCUUCCAAUGGCAAGGUACCGUUGGUUCCCCUUCUACAGCCAGCCGGUGGUAGUCCCCCAAGUUCGGGCUCAUGGAAUGGUUGGAACGGGUCUUAUUUCCGACGGACAAAGGUAGCAAACUUUUCCAUAUCAUGUGUUUUUGCUUGAGCGCGGGGUAUGAUCCCCGCGUGGGUUAUCAAGCCACUAUUCUCCAUAUGAAGGGAAUGAUAUGAACUGCCCAACCCCUGCCCUCCGGGAGCUGUACAUGGGACUUACGAUUCUCAUGGCGUUAGUUGUUUUGCGCAUGCUUCCCGGUGAUACGUUUCCGGGGUUGUAUGCAUGCCUUUUAGUUCGUGCGCAUGUUUCCCGUUGGUUCUUGUUCAGGUAUAAUAAUCUCAUGAAACAGUUAUUGUAUGUUUCUUCCCGUUAGUUCUUAUCCGGGAUACGAGAUAUCCUAAGCAGUUGUUGUAUGCUUUCGUUAGUUCUUAUCUGGGACUUACAAAAUUUCAUGCAUUAGUUGUUUUACACAUGUUUCCCACAUUUCUCCGAGACUUACUACGUUUCAUGCUUGCAUUUCCACAUUAGCUAUUUAGUUGGAAUAUAUGGCAACUCGUUGUUUUUCCAAUUUUAUGUCGUACUUGCUUCAAUAAUCAACUGUAAUCUCAUGCCUAUGCUUCCCCAAAGGUGAAUAUCCCGUAGUUCCAAGUGGUGGUAAAUUACCAAUCAUAAAGAAUUAGUAUUCCCCAUGGACCGAUGGUGAUUUCCAUCCAAUCAUGAAGACUUGGACCUCCAUAUAUAGUGUCCGGAGGCAAGGUAAGACAUCAACAUAAAGUAUGUACAUUUUCCUCAAACAAAUUUGAAUAGACAGCAAUGAUUAUGGACUGCAUGUUACAUAGCCCGUAUUAAUUGCAUACUUCCACAAAUAAGCACCCAAAGUGGUGUUGGUGAAUUGCCAAUCACGUAUAAAGGUUUCUGUAUGCAUAAGCACAUAAUACGUGGUACUAUCAAUAGGCUAGCAUUUGUGUCUAUAAAGCAUGAUAAGUAUGAUUAGAUUCAUUGUUUGCAAGCAUAGUGAUGCAGCGGAAAUAUAAACGUUGGAAUCCACCAACGGCGACUUGAAUCCACAAGUCGAAUCCACAAGAGAAUCUGGAAUCCACCAGAGAAUUAAGAUAAACUCAAAGGUUUUUAUUAAUCAAAAGCUAACGACUAUAACCGAUAGAGGCUCCUUAUAUAGGAGCAAAUAAACUCUAGGGCAACUAACAUUAAAGCUUAAAAGCCCAUGGAUUAAAAGAAAACCAAAUCCAAAACAAACUAUUAAAAAUAAUUGCUGAAAACAAGUAAAUCUGCAUUUUGAAGGCUUAAACGGACUCGAAAGGCCGAAAAAGCCCAUACGUCGUGGCAUAACAACGAGUUUGUCUCGUUGGCCCGUUCUGCUUCCAGAAAGGUAUCAUAAUGGUCAAUCGGACACCGAACGCCAAAUCUGGAGCAAACCGGGUUUGGACUUGUUUCGAUCGAUCUGUUCUUCAAUCUCUAACGCCAUCUGUUCUAUAUCAGUCUCCUCCACUCAGAAGAACUCGACCCAGAGUUAUUAUCACCCAAAAGAAAAUCAUCCUCAUGAAACUCAUGCAGAUCAGCAACAUUAAAAGAAUUUGAAAUUCCCAUAGAAACAGGAAGAUCAAUAACAUAAGCAUUAUCAUUAAUCCUCUUCAAUACCUUGAAUGGUCCAUAUUUCCUGGGUUUCAGCUUGUUAUAUGUGCCAACAGGAUACCUCUCCUUCCUGAGGAAAACCAUGACCGAAUCCCCUUCUUGAAACACCUUCACACGCCUGUGCUUGUCGGCAGCAGCCUUAUACUUGGCGUUUGUCUCCUCUAACUUUGCCUUUAUCUCUUCUUGAACUGUCCGAACUCCCUCUGCCAUUUUAAUUGCAGCAUCACUAACUCCCUGUCCUCUUGCCAACUUUGCCAAAUCCACGACAUGUCGUGGAGAAGUGUAGACCACAUAAAAAGGUGACUUACCAAUGGCACUAUGCAUAGAACUGUUGUAAGCGAAUUCUACCUGAGGUAAGGCAAGGUCCCAUUGCUUCGGCUUAUCACUACAGGCACUCCUGAUCAUAUUUCCCAAACUCCUAUUGGUGACUUCAGUUUGUCCAUCUGUUUUGGGGUGAGCGGUAGUACUCCUCUUCAAAGCUGUCUCAAAUUGCUUCCACAAUGUUAACCAAAAAUGGCUCAAAAACUUUGUAUCACGAUCAGAAGUGAUGGACUUAGGCACCCCAUGCAAACGAACAACCUCCCUGAAAAAUAGUUUGGCUAUAUUUGCAGCAUCUGCAGUUUUCUUGCAAGCGAUGAAGUGACUCAUCUUAGAAAAUCUAUCCACCACCACAAACACAGAAUCCACUCCUCUUUGGGUCCGAGGUAAACCCAAGACAAAAUCCAUAGAAACAUCCUGCCAAAUAUCAUCAGGAACAGGUAAAGGCAUGUAAAGACCAGUAUUUUGAGACUGACCCUUAGAUACUGACAAACAUAGCACUUCCUGACAAUAUUGUUGACGUCUCGCUUUAACUGAGGCCAGUAAUAACGCUCCUCCAAGCUUGCAGUUGUCUUGUCUUUCCCAAAGUGACCGCUUAAUCCUCCUCCAUGCAAAUCACGAAUCAGUUUCUCUCGCAGAGAAGAUUUGGGCACACAUAACUGAUUGCCCCUGAACAAAUAACCUUGAUGGAUAAGGAAACCAGCAACUGGUUGUUUCUUGCUAACACACUGCUCCCAAACCUGCUUGAAAUCAUCAUCUGCUUCAUAUAAUUCUUUCAAAAAGUCAAAACCAGUUACCUCUUGGGAUAAAGUAACCAACAAACUAGCUCACCUGCUCAACGCAUCAGCCACCUUGUUGAGUGUUCCCGACUUAUGCUUGAUCACAAAAGGAAAUUUCUGCAAAAACGUCACCCAUCUGAUAUGCAUCUUGUUUGCAUGUUUCUGACUGUUCAGAAACUUCAAAGCCUGAUGAUCAGUGAACAGAAUAAACCCUCUUUGGAUCAGAUAAUGCUCCCAUUGCCUUAAAGCUCUCACUACUGCAUAGAACUCUUGGUCAUAUGUACUCCAUUUUUGGCGAGCUUCACUCAACUUCUCGCUAAAGAAAGCCACUGCCCUCUUUUCUUGGGACAAGACAGCCCCCACUCCAACACCACUAGCAUCACAUUCGACCUCGAAUAUCUUGUCAAAAUCUGGAAGAGCCAAAACUGGUGCGGUACAAAGCUUCUCUUUGAUAAGUGCAAAACUUUGCUCUUGCUCUUCACCCCAGUGAAACUUGCCUUUCUUCAUGCAUUCAGUAAUUGGUGCAGUGAUGGUACUGAAAUCCCUCACAAACCAUCUAUAGAAAGUAGCUAAACCAUGGAAACUUCUCACCUCCAAAACUAUUCUAGGAGUUGGCCACUCUCUAAUUGCGCGUACCUUCUCUUCAUCAACCUGAAUCCCAUCCUCUCCAACCACAAAGCCUAGAAAUAGCAGCUUAUUGGUGCAAAAAGCACACUUCUUCAGGUUGAUGUACAACUUAUUAUCCCGUAGCACCUCAAGAACUUGCCUCACAUGUUCUAGGUGCUCGGUUUUCUGCUUACUAUAAUAAGGAUAUCAUCGAAAUAAACAACAACCCUGGUUCCAAUGAAAGGACGAACAACCUGAUUCAUAAGUCUCGUAAAGGUGCUAGGAGCGUUGGACAACCCAAAAGGCAUCACCAACCACUCAUAUAACCCAUCUUUGGUCUUGAACACAGUUUUCCACUCAUCCCCAGGUUUGACUCAAAUCUAGUGAUAUCCACUUCUCAAAUCUAUCUUCGAGAACCACUUGGAACCAUUCAACUCAUCAAGCAUGUCUUCAAGGCGUGGGAUAGGAAAUCUGUACUUGAUUGUUAUCUUGUUGAUGGCUCUGCUGUCCACACACAUCCUCCAUGUUCCUCCUUUCUUAGGUACCAACAAAACAGGAACCGCACAAAGGCUCAUACUCUCUCGAAUAAACCCUUUCUUUAGCAAAUCUUCAAUAAUCUCCCUUAAGAUCUCACAUUCUUUAGGGCUCAUUCUGUAGUGUGGCAGGUUAGGUAGACUAGCUCCUGGAAUAAAGUCUAUUUGAUGUUGAAUGUCUCUCAUGGGUGGCAGCUCAUUAGGAAUAUCAUCAGCAAUUAACUCCUUAAAUCCUUCUAACAACUUCCAGACCUCCUUCGGAAUCUCUCCGCCUUGCUUCUCUACUGCCAUCAAACCCUUAACCACUAUAGGAAAAAUGGUUUUGGAUUCUUUUAUGGCCUCAUUCAACUCACAAUCGUUGUUGUUGAUGGUAAGAAAACUCGAAUUGCCUUUCUUGGGACCUUCAGAAUUGCUUAACGGAGCCAUAGCAAUCUUGUGCUCCUUCCAUGUAAACAACAUCACAUUAUCCCUGCCCUUAUGAGUGACAUCCAGAUCAUACUGCUAAGGCCUCCCCAACAAUAUGUGACAGACAUCCAUAUCAACAACAUCACAACUCACCUCGUCACGAUAGUGUCUCCCAAUGGAAAUAGGCACCCUGCAUGUUGUGGUCACUUCUGCUUGAGGUCCUUUUUUCACCCAGCCUAGUUUAUAAGGCUUAGGAUGAGGUUCUGUAGGCAACUUCAAAAACUCCACCAGUUUAUGCGACACAAAGUUCUCACAACUCCCAUUAUCCACAAUCACCUGACAUACCUUGUUAUUCACAGAGCAUGCCGAACGGAAUAUAUUGUGGCGUUGUCCCUCUUCUUUUGGCGCCAACAUGACCCUCUGCAGCACUAAAGUCACCCUAUCCAAACCCUCUUCAAUUGCAAACUCAACCCCACUAUAGUCAUCGUCUUCUCUAUCUUCCUCAUCUUCAUUGACAUCUCCUUGAGUUUGCGUCUCCACCAGGUUCACCUGCUUUCGUUCUGGACAAUUAUUGGAACGAUGUCCAGGUUGCUUGCACCGAUAACAUUUAUCUCCAGCCAGUGGCGGAUCCAGAAUUUCAACCCUGGUUGGGCUUGAACUUCCUAACCAAGCAAAAAAAAAACAGUGGAGAAUCUUGACGGUGUGAGAGAAAUUUAAUAAUUGAAAGAAAAUGAUACACCUAGUCAAGGGGACAUUAGUUUGGAGAAGAUAUGGAAGGAUUAGAAAUCAAAUUUGAACUUGAAGAGGAGACAUUAGUUCUUUGAAACCAUCCAGUAAUUUUUUUUAAUCGCUUCGGUUUUGGCCCUGUAUUCGACAGUUUACUCUUAACACCUAUUGAUUAAAAGACAUGUUUAUAUUAGACAAACUCAUAGUUCAUUCAAAAUCAUUAGGCAUGCUUUAUACUUCAUAUAGAAAGACACAAAGUAAGAGAGACAAACCUGAGAGCGGAGAACCAGUGAAAAUAAUGGGAUCCAACCAAGUUCUUACUUCAUAGCUCUUCCGCUUUAGCUGCCAUUCCUGCCAAUACACCAUUCAGUAUUAGAGAAACAAAAUAUUGCCAAUACACCAUAAAUCAUAAUUCCCCGCAUCUAUGAUGCUUAGCUUCCAAAAUCAAUUACAGGACAACAACAAACUUAGAAAUCGUAACCCUAACUCGAUUCAACACUCUAAAUUUCAACAAAUCGUAUUCAUACACAUCAAAUUCCGAACAAUUAUAAUAACAGUAAGUCAGUAACAACAAAUCAACAAUUCAAUACACUCUUGAGUCUUGAUUAAGGAGAAGCAGAUCUAUUAAAGUGAGAAAGAGGACUCACGGAGCCACAUAGGGCUUAACAGAGGUAAAUGGUGGAGCGACUGGAGGUCUGGAGCCGUUAGCCGUGGAGGACUGGAGGGCCUGGAGGCGGCGACUCGGCGAGAGUGCGAGACACUAGAGCGACUGGAGCCGUCAGCCGUGGAGGACUGGAGGGCCUGGAGGCGGCGCCGCGGCGACUGGGCGAGAGUGCGAGAUUGCGAGUCGAUGUGAGACACUGACAGUGAGAGGAAGAGAGAAUGAGAGAAGAGAAGAGAUGCUGAGAAGCCUGAGAUCAGUGAGAUGAGAUGGCCAGAUGGGCGUCGCCACUCGCCGGUCGCCGUCGACGGUCGACUAACAGAGAAAGAGAGAGAUGAACUGAUGAACUAUCGAAGGAUUUAGGAAUUAGGAUCAGCCGAUUAGGGAUUUAGGGUGGUAUAUCAAAAAAAAAAAAACACAUUGGUUGGGCUUGGGUAUAUAUCACACACAAAAAAAAAUAGUAUACAUCUAGUUUUAUUUUUUUUGGCCCAAAAUUCUUGGUUGGGCUUGAGCCCUACCAGAGUAUAUGCUGCCCAUAAGGGUUGGGUUUCAGGUUUUGUUUAGGGUUCUCAGUAUUUUCACUAACCUUGCUGCUGCUACUGCUGCUGUUUUCUGCUCCUUUGAAAGGGGUAGAAACCCUAUUAGGUAUAGGAAUCUGCCUUCCUCUCUCAACAUUGGAAUAAGUCAUUUUUCCUUUCUCCAUUAGCUCUGCCUUCAAGGCCAAAUUCUGAGCCUCAGCAAUGGUCCACACAGUUUGUAAACCAAUUUUCUCUUGAAUCGAAGGUCUCAAUCCACUCAGAUACCUUGCCACUUUUUGCGCCUCUGACUCUCCCAAUUGAUUGCGUUCUGCUAACCUCAAGAACUCAUCCGUGUACUCGUCUACCGUUCUAUUGCCUUGUACACAAUCCAUGUACAUGCGAUAGAGCAGUUGUUCGUAAUCUGCUGGAAGAAAUCUGUCCCUCAACAUCUGCUGCAUCCUCCGCCAUGUUUGAAUCGACUUCUUUCCCUGUCUUCGACGAGUUUGCUGCAAUUUAUCCCACCAUACAGCAGCACUACUCUUCAGCCGGAAAGCGACCAUCUUCACUCUCUUUGACUCCUGCACUUCCAUCAUGUCGAAGAAUCUGUCAACUUCCACCAGCCAAUCAAGGAAUUCUUCAAUUUUCAGAUGUCUUGAGAAGGUUGGAAUUUCAGCCUUCAUCUUGUAAUCAGAUUGAUUAAUUUGAUCGUCACCAGCAACUGACAACUCUUCCUCUGAAUCUGAUUCAUCAUUCUCCACAACACGUUCCACAACCCGUUGUUGUGGUUGCCUUCCAUGAUCCCGACGGUUGAGGUUAUUGUUCUCAUUGUUGUUGUUGUUGCUCAAGCCAAGCAACAGUUGUCGGAUCUCUCCCAUCUGAGCAUUGAGACGUUCAUUCUGAGCAUUGAACUUUGCUCGGGUAAUAGGAGCUUCGUCACCCAUGAACCCAGGUUGAUAACCACCAGGAAAAAAAAUUCCUACUCUGAUUACCAAUUGAUGCAGCAGAAAUAUAAACGUUGGAAUCCACCAACGGCGACUUGAAUCCACAAGUCUAGUUUUCUCGAAUCCACGAGAGAAUCUGGAAUCCACCAGAGAAUUGAGAUAAACUGAAAGGUUUUUAUUAAUCAAAAGCUGACGACUAUAACCGAUAGAGGCUCCUUAUAUAGGAGCAAAUAAACCCUAGGGCAACUAACAUCAAAGCCUAAAAGCCCAUGGAUUAAAAGAAAACCAAAUCCAAAACAAACUAUUAAAAAUAAUUGCUGAAAACAAGUAAAUCUGCAUUUUGAAGGCUUAAACGGACUCGAAAAGCCGAAAAAGCCCAUACGACAUGGCAAAGCGACGAGUUUGUCUCGUUGGCCCGUUCCGCUUCCAGAAAUGUAUCAUAAUGGUCAUUCGGACACCGAACGCCAAAUCUGGAGCAAACCGGAUUUGGACUUGUUUCGAUCGAUCUGUUCUUCAAUCUCUAACGCCAUCUGUUCUAUAUCACAUAGUCCACAACUUAAUUAUCACAAUACUUUUUGUAAACAUGCUCAUAGGAAUCCAAGCAGCGAUAUACAUAUAUAGUUGAAGAUAUGAAGAACUUAUCUUUGAAGAAAGCUGCCGAGUCGGUGCACAAUAGGUAUCGUAGUGUGAACUUUCAUGUUAGCAUCAUGUAGAGUAAAGUCAUGCUGCAUGGUGUUGUAAGUCAGCCCUACCGUAGUGUGCACAAAAGACUUUUUUUUUUUCUUUUUUUUUUUUCGGUUAUUCCCCUAUUUUUUCUCUCUUUGUUUCUUUCUGCUUUUUCUUUCUUCCCUAAUUUACCUAUAUACUAAAGCUUGGUCUACUAUUUAUAUCUUUAUAUCUACUGUUUAUAAGUUGCUCGCUCGAAGUUGCUCACUCGACAGUUUAUAUAUAAGCAAGCACAGGUGAAGGUUAAUUAAUAAUGUGUUUUUAUGUGAUGACCACUUUAUCCCUGUUGUGUUUAGAAAACCACAAUAUAAAUAUGUAGAGCAGAUGUCGACAAAUCCUAAAUAAACUGUGAAUGAUCGAGAACGAUCUGGACGCCCGAUUAAGCACCGACCUUCUUCAAAACAAAGUGAAAAGUUUGCAAAUUUUCUAACUGUGCAUGAUAUACUAGAAGAGAUUCUAGAAGAACCCAGACCGAAAAGAGAGUGAGAAAAACCCAGACAGAAGAGAUGGUCUACAAACCCAGACAGAAGAGAAAGUGAGAGAGAAAAGAAGAGAGCAGAAGAAACAGGGCGGAAGAAAGUGAAAGAGAAAAGAGAGCAAACGCCCGAUUCAGAUCCAAGCAGCCAAACUCAGAGCAAAAAUUUUGUAUGUUUGUUCCCGGCAAAUUUCGUUUUUUACUCCAGGUGCUCUUUCUUACUUUGGCAUUUCAGGCUAAUUCAAUUAAGCAGAGAAAGACUAUCGAUUUCCUCUAUCCAGUGUUUUCAGUAUUAUCCUUUAUACUUCAACUUUAAGCUUUUCCGCGGCAAAAAGCUACAUCUCCCAAUCUCUGUGUUGGGUUUUUGUUUGAAUUCGUUUUUCUUGAUUUCGAUUGCAGUGGUAGCAGGUUGUUCUGUGGUUCGUUUUCCAGUCCAGUACCCCUCAGUUUAAGGGAAUUGGUGAACUAAAGAAGUUAGCUGAAUUGGGCAAGAGUUUAAGGGAAGAAAAUUUUGGAUAUCCUUGGUUGUUCUCACCUGCCUUUACUCAUUUGGUAUGUCUCAUCUUUUUUUUUUCCCUCUGCAUUUGUACUGUUGUGGGUUUGGUUUUGAUUUUCUUUUCUGUUUGUUUUAAUUUGAUUAGGGUUUGGUACGUUCUACUGUAUAUGUGUUUUCAGAUUGAGCUGGGACUCU
rnacentral:lncRNA from 1 species